rnacentral:lncRNA from 1 species
UAGUUUAGAAUUACACAGUAAAUAAAUGAGUUCAUCCUAACAUGCUGCUUUCCCAGCAUAACAACUGUCAACUGGCUUAUCCUUCGAUCUACCUUCAACUUUAUGUCAUCUUUAUUAGGUCACUGUAUCAAAGUGUAUGAUUGCCCUUGGCUUCAUGGUUCUUGUGCGGGAUGGGUUGCACAUGGAGGUAAGUACACAUGGCAUUUCUUCCCAGAAUCUUGCAACAAACCUUGGGAGUCAUAGUCCUUUGCUGCCAAAUUCAUGUAUAAAUGCAAUACAAGAAACAAAGAUGAUAAGAUAAUGUUUCUGGUUUACUUUUUAGCUUUAUUUCUUUAGAACGACAGAUUACUAGACUUUACAUGUAUAUAGGCAGCAGUAGCAAAAUAAAGAAGAAAAAAAAACUCAUUAUAUGCUUUUACAAGAGAAGAAAGUGAGACUAAAGGUGGGAGAGUGAGCAUGUCAAGUCAUUAUUUCAUUUGGUACAUCUGAUCAAAGGUGAGUCUCCACCCAAAAAUAUGCAUUCAAGUGGUGAAAUUUUGUGCAGUGAGCUUGGUGUGGUGGCCAGGAGGUUGUGGACGCUCUUGAUUGAUUUUGUGAAGUCUUAUUUAGACUCGUUUCGACUUUAAAGCUGCACACCAUACGUUUAAGGUACUCGACUCUGACCCCUGUACGUAGCAAUAUUGGAUUAUUUGAGGAGUUGAAAUAAAUCGAAGUUACUUGGUGCAUCAGCUAGAGCUUUAAAUUGUCCUUUUUCAACAAUAAAACCAUUGUCAUCAAAAUAAGGGGCAUGAAGGAAAGUGAUGUCUGGCAAUAGAAAGGGCAGUGGGGUUUCAAAACAGUUGAGAAAAUGAAGUGUGACAUACACAAAAUGGGGUAUGUAGCUUAGGAAUCUAGAAGACGAAGAUAUUGGACACAGAGAGUAAAACAAACCGAUAAUUAUUUACCAACCAAACAUAGAUUACAGAAGAUUACAUCCAGCAUAUAUAAUUAAUCCAAAUAUAGAAAGAAUAUUACAGAACACACAAUCAAAAAUACUUUCCUCUUGCAAUCGACUUCCUGGCUGUAAAGCUACUGAUCCUCAGCCGAACUAGGAGCUAACCAGAGCCUCUGAUGGUGAUUCCUUGACAAUAUGAACUUCAUGGUAGCAGAAAAAUUUGUUGUUCAUAAUGCGUUUUGAGAAUGAAGGAUCAUAGAAUGCAAACCUCUCAGAAAACAUUUUUCUGUAAAUCUUGUAGUUCAGGGUCCACUACUUUGUCUUCCUCCCCAGCUUCAGUUGCAAAGAGAGGGGCUUCAAGCUCAGGUGCAUUCUGGGCAUGGGCAUUAAAGAAAUGUCAAGAAAGUAAACUCUAAUAACAAAACGGACAAAGGGAAAUGGGGAAUUAGUGUGAAAAACGACACAACUACUUUUAUCAGUUUACAAUAUGCAGCUUUGUUUAUUCAUUCAGAAAAACAACAGCAGCUUUGCUUUACUGUAACAAUGGUAACUGGGGAGGUCGGCCAUGUACGUCAUGUUUGGUAGGAGGGGGCUGCCAAACCAAACAUCCAUGAAUAUAACCCUCUAUCAAGGCUGUACUGUUCUAUAAUUUCCAUCCUCGGAUACCUCACCGACUUAAUGAAUCAAAUGUACCAUAUGGUAAUGCUACAAAUGCACUUCUAAAUAAUGGGGGUUCAAGGAUUUGGAAAUUUACCAUGCAGCGGACAAGAGCCCAAUUUACACCUUUGAAGAAUGGAUGUCCCUUAAUUUCACUGGCUCCUUCACGAGAACCUAAUCUGUUUUUGGGAUCUUUAUGUAAUAACCUGUACAUCAACUGCUUUCCAUGGAGACUUACCUGCAUUCAUUCAUGCAUUAUGUGUUAAAUCUGUGAUAUGUAUAAAAAUUAAUCUCAAAUCCAACGGUUCUGGAAUGAGCCGCAACAUCACACGCUCAAGUGAAAAGAACCGCUUCAGGACAAGACCAUAUUGGAUUGCACUGUAGUUAUCACCCAUUCUUAAGUCUUAAGGUAAUAAGAUUCAGAAGAGAAGAUUUUGAAGACAGAAGAAAAGUUACUUGUAUACUUCUUGGGAAUUUAAGAUCUUUCUGAAGAACAUUGGCAAAUGUCUUCUGUCUUGUCUUUCCCCUGAAUGGUGUAUACCCAUAAAGCAUUUCAUAGAGAAGAAUGCCUGGAACAGAAAAACAAAAGCAAACAAAAAAAUAUCUUCUGCAUUAGAUUGAAAGCUAGAAUCCCAUUGAUCAAUCAGCACAGAAAGGUAUGAUUUCUCAUUUUCCCAUUUGUUCUUAUUCAGUCACUUCGUCUGACAGGUAAGGAAAUUAUAACAAUGAUCUUAGUAGGAAGCUUCGUUAUGAAAACAUGCACUUUCCCCAAUUUUUUAUGUUGCUUUAGAAGGAAAAAUACAAAAUUACCUAAAGCCCACCAGUCCACUGCACUGGUAUGGCCUGCCCCAGAGAUAAUUUCCUGCAAAGAACAGAAAGAGAAUGAGCAUUCAAUAGAAAAAAAGUAGAAAUGGCUGAUGUGAAGAAUGCAUUUCUACAGUUGCAACCAUUUCUUUAGCAGAAAACAGACAAAUAUAUUUAUGUAUAGACAUUUAAGAAAAUAAACUAACAGGGGCAAUGUACUCUUCAGUUCCCACAAAAGAAUUUGAUGCACGCAUAGGUUCUGCCAUGAAGAUUGGAUUCUGCUGACUUUUAUGGCGUUUUUUCUUUUCAUCUGUCGUUGGAAUCAGCAGCUAUAAACACCGGUAAAAUUUAUCAGAUUUCUUGAUGUAGAGAAAAAAAUGGGGGAUAAAGAAAAAACCCCAGAGCUAAACAGGGGCCAGAAGAUAAAGAUAGCUUUAGAUACCUGUGGUUUGCAAGAUGUCAAGCAAGAUAAAUCAAAAUCGGUCAGGGUCACAUGUCCAUUGCUCUGGAGGAGAACAUUUUCAGGCUUUAAAUCUCUGUAUAUAAUUCCUGUCGGAAGGGCAACAGAAUGACUCAAUAACUGAUUUAUUGACAUGGAAGCAUGUUCAUAAUUGACUUCAACCAACCUUGACAGUGAAGGUACUCCAAUGCAACAACAACCUCCGCAGCAUAAAAUCUACAUUCAUAGAAACUUAGAAGUUUAGUUCCAAAUCAGACUUGGUAACAAACUGGAAAUUGCUGAAGUGGGUUUGAAAGGUUAAAACAAAUCCAUCAUUGAGUAUAGGCAAAUUGUCAGAUGAUAUUCCUAGAUCCUAGUAUCCAGUACAAGUAUCAAACACCAGAAAGUUUAAAAGACAAAAUAAGUUUACAUGACUCUAUUGGUGAAUCAGAGAAUUUCUAGACAAGGUUAAGGUAGUGUUAAUUGUGGUAAAAAGAUAAUUACCUGACUGCAUCUUCCUUCAUGACCUUCAUUGGUUGUCUGUCUAAAAGCACGAAGAGUUCUCCACCAGGACAGUAAUCCGUAAUCAGACAAAUAUGUGUUUUAGUCUGCAAAGUAUCUGAAAGUUAGAAUUUUCAUGUCUCCCAUCUACAGUAAGCAAGUAAAAAAAAUGAGGAUCUAAUCUCCAAUGAUCUUCAAUUUAGUUGAAUUGGGACCAGAUUUAACAGCAAACAGAUCAAGAAAUAGAUAUAUUGAAUUUACAAAAAUAAGGCAGGCAAGUUUCGUCUGAUUGAAUAUUGAAGCAUCAAAGCUUUAUGUUCAUGCGUACAAAGAAAUUGAAAAGAUCCAAGUCUUAUAUUCAGACACAAAAUGAAAAUCAUAUUUCAGACAAUUAUCUAGCUAAUCUUGUUAAAACAAGCCUGCGGUUAAUAUCAGUUUUCUAACCUGAAAUGAUGCAUACAAUGCUGGAAGAAAAGGGUGAUCCAACAUGUCAAGAAUUUCUCUUUCUGCACAAGCUCUAUGCACCUACAGAAAAGGAAGGCAUCAUGUAAACAAAAACGAAGAAGAAUGCCCUUCAUACAUGGAUAUCAAGAGAAAGUGAAACUAUGGGAAAUAAAGAGGAUAAUGACAAGCUAAAAUAAAAACUAAAGGAAAACUCCUCUCCUGGUCCUUGUUCAAUAGUUAUAUGCACUUCCAGGCUUAUCAUUAGAUAGCAUACAAAUGACUAUAUAGGUAUUUUUUGGUUUGAAGAUUAAUACUCAAAAUCAAUGCAAUGAUACCUUGUUCCGGUUGAGCAUAACACCUUUAUCCAUAGCUUUCAUGGCAAAGUACAGGCCAGUUCCAUAUAGUUCCACCAAAUGCACACUGCCAAAAAAAGAAAUAGCUGAUAUAAAAGUUUCUGUGAAAGAAUAAGUACAUGCAUUAUACAGCAAAAUUGAGUGUAAAACAGGAGAAGAGGAAUUAGACAAACCUGCCAGUGUCGCCUGAUCCCAAUGGUUUUACAGGCCUAAAAUGUUUUAGACCUAUCCUUUCUCCACUGUCAUGAAUCUACAAAUACAAGAGCAAUGAGACAUAAAAAUCACAUAUAUACUCAACGUGGAAGGGUUAUCAGAAUGGAAGAAUCUGGUGUAAAAUGACAGAUAUAAGUUGAAGAACAAAUGCAGAAUGACAAUGGAAAUAUAGGUUCUUUCUUGUUCUUAAAAUUUUUUUCAGCACCAUGCUUCUUCAUCAUUAAGCCCAGAAUCCAAAACCAUUUUAAAUGAUAUGUUGGUCCCCUAUAAAUUAUGACUCAGGCACAUAAAUAUGAAAGAAUAAUACCUUUUGAAUAGCUUUCCAAAAGGGACUAUCCUUCCUGUGAGGUUUUGGGUGAACCACCUUGGAAUGAUUCAUCCAUAGAUCUUCUGGAUUCUGCAGGUAGUGAAAUUUGUUGUAAAGAUUUUUGUAAGAAAAAGAGUUUUUCUGGAAAAGUGGAUUAGGAUUCAAACAUUACCAUAUUGGCGUCUGGAAGUUCCCUCACUGCUUCAUCAACAUUUUCUGCAGUUUUUUUCACCUGCAAGCAGGGAUUGUUUUAAGCCUCCAAAUGUUAAGGUAAUAAAGGAACUUAUUUAAGAACUUAAGGAUUUAAGAAAGCAGGAAAAGAAAAAACAAAUGGGAAGACAGAGAAAAGAGUUGAGACCAGUUGUUCACUCUGUUGUGCAGCACUAUCUGGAAGCCUGUUAUGAAGUGGAUCAACUUUUGCACUGCCAUCUAGCUGCACUCCGAUAAAAUACUGAACUUCUCCCUGUUCAAAAUAAAUCAGAGGUAGUUUUGUUCAUCAGUCCAGAAAGUCAUAUGAAUUCGAAUUUGAUGAUCUGCUUAACAAAGGAGUUACAUAGCAAAAUACAGCAUUUACUUUCCAGUCUGAAUAUUUGAGGAUUUUACCUUCUGGUCACGCAUAGGCUGCAGAUGGAACAGGUUCCAGAACUUCUUGCCUGAAAUGUGUACAAAUAGCUUUGAAUCAUUAUAGGAAGAGAUAAUCCAGAACAUCAAAAAUAUUAGUAACAGGACUAGAAGGAUAAAGACUUUCAUAGUUACACUAUAAAUAACAAUGUAUAGACUUAUCCUUGGACCACUGAAAGGCAAGAACAUUACAUGCAUGACAUGAAUCAGUAAACUGAAUAUUAGGCAUCUUCUGGAAACAUUUUCCGGGUGUCAUAUGAAAUCUAGAAGUUGGAAAUUUUAAGCAUACCACUCUUUGUGUAGUUGAUGAGCUGUACAGUUACUUCUGUUUGGUUAUCUAUUGCCUCUCGGAUCUUCCUCACAGUAGCUGGAUCAGUUUCAGGCCCUUGGAGAAACCUGAAAGGAUUUCACAGAUUAAAUGAAGUGAAUUCCAUUUUUUUAUAAAACUCAUUAUAUUGUUUACCUUGAUUUUGUCUUAAAAGGCUAAGGUAUAAAUUCAUUCUUUAUCUGCCUUUCACACUAUUUAAGCUAUCUUCUUGCAUACAGUUCAAAUUGAAGAAAGGAAUGGUAUUGCUUGUUACAUAAAAAGAAAGAAACACAGAAUUAAAUAAGCAAGCUUAAGAUUCAAGAACCAGCUGCUUAUGCCUAGCUAGAACUAACAUGAAGCCACUCAAUCAAAGAUAAUAACUUUGCUAGAUAACUUCUUAAUUUGGAGAGAACUUCCUGAUCACACUAAUUUUCCACCAACAAUCCUACUGAAUAAAACAUCAUGUAACACCAUGUCAAAAAUUCCUUCAGAUGUUUAAGAGCAUCAUUGCAAAUUCAAUUUUCAACUUCAGACUGAUGUUUUAAGCCUUGCAGGGUGGAAUGAGAGGUCAAAAUACUUAAAAUUUUGAUGUUAUGAUUUGCAAGUAUAGGGAAUUUGAGGCACACCUGCAAUUUCUGCCCAAGAUUUCUUCGCGGCUGUACUCUGUCAGCUCCAAGAAGCUAUCAGAUGCAAAGAUCUGAUCAUUAAGACAAGUGGAAACAUUAGUUUCUUAAAAAUUGACCUCUACUUGCAUGACCUGAUAUUAAAUAUAUAUUAGAAACUAUAUAUUUAGCUGGAAUUCGAAGUCUUACAAUGGGAUUAUCAGGCAGCCUUGGAUCAGUAAUGACAAAGUUUUUCUCUAUACGUUCAAGUGUGGUGGCAAGAUCAAUACCCUUUCUCAUUUCCUUUUGUCUAACUUUGUCAUCAACACUGUCUGGCCUCUCAUCAUCAUCACUCUCAUCCUCAUCAGCAUCCAACAGGAGACUAUUGUCAAAGCUUUCAGUAGUAGACUGACUUUUCCUCAUAAGCCUGAAGCAUGGAAAGAGAACCUAUGUAAAAUGGCUGCUUUCAUACUAUACCAAGUGAUCAAUCAGAAAGUUCUUGAUCAUACCCCAUGAAAGAGAGACGACUAGAUCUUCUCUGUUUCUUUUCUGGCACCUCACUGAUACGCUCCAUUGAGAUUCUAGGACCCCCACUAGAUCUUCUUUGUGGAGGAACAUUUUCCGAGUUUCGCCAUGCCAAACCUCCCGAUCCUUCUCGCUCUCCGCCACCACCUGAUAUUCUAAUGAAAGGGUGGUUUGUUGAUUCACUCAGUGAACGAGGUUUCCUAACUGCUUCCACAAGUUCCGUUACUGAACCGGCAGCCAUGUCCUUUUGGCGGGCUGCAACAACAGGUAUUCUUAGAGGCCAAAUGAUUGCUCAAACCAAGCGUUUGAGUAGCACCAAAAGCCAUUACAUUAACAAGAAUGAGGUACUCCAUGACAUUCAUGCUAGAAUUUAACCCACGUUAGAACUCUCAAAGGGUCACAUCGCAUUGAAAAUUGAAUGCAACGAUUACAUGUUCUGGCAAAUUUCUGUUGCUUAUGGAUCAAAUGAGUGCAAGAAAAUGAUACCAACUCAAAACUUUCAACUCUUUUCUACUCAUUUAUAGAGAGCUCAGACCUAUUGCAUGCAAUUUGCAAAAAUUCAGAUCAAUCUUGCAUAAAGAAUAGUACUUGAAAUCUCGAGAGUAUUUAACAAAAAAUAAAUGAAUACGUACAUCGCCUCCCCAUGCAUGUAUCACUUUACUUUUUGGGGUGGAACCAUGCACGUAUAAUUAAUUAAACAAUUCUUUUUGAUAAUAAAUAUAGGAAGAAAAAUUCCCUACUCUCAUUUAGUGUCAUUUUCAUAAUUUUUCAUUAAAUAUUCAACAAACUUCUCAUAUUAUGAUUUAUAAUUUAAGAUUUAUGGAUUAGAGAUAAGGAUUUUUAAUUGAUAAUAUAAAACUACAUACAUGACGUAAAAUUAUGAAAAGAGACAUCAAAUGAAGACAAAAAAAUUUUAUUUUAUAUAUAUAUAUAUAUAUUUGAAGUUAGAUUUUCCUUUUUCAAAUAAAAAAUAAUGCAAGUACUAUAUAUAUAUAAUUAAAUAAUUCUUUUCGAUAAUAAAUAUAUGAACAAAAAUUCCCCACUCUCGUUAAGUGUCUUCUUCAUAAUUUUUCAUUGAAUAUUCAACAACCUUCUCACAUUUAUAAUUUAAGAUUUAAAAAUUAGAGAUAAGGGUUUUUUAUUGAUAAUAUAAAAUUACAUAUAUGAGGUAAAAUUAUAAAAGAGAUAUCAAAUGAAGAUAAAAGAUUUUUAUUAUAUAUAUAUUUAAAGUUAGAUUUUCUUUUUUCAAAUAAAAAAUAAUGCAAGUACUAUAAUAUAUAUAUAUAUAGAUCUUCAUUGUUACUGUUAUCCAUAAUAAUUCAUGUAAGAGGAGUAGGGGGUACAUGGUAGCAGAGACAAGAGAAAAAGGAUAAUGUUAGAAUAUAUACCAUCGUAUCGAAUCAAAGACUCUGGCAAUCCAUUGGGCCGCAACGCCUUUUCCUUGGCCCCUUCUGUAUGCUUGCUCACCUCCACUUGCAUUCUGCCAAAUCAUUCAAACACAAAUACAAAUAGAAAUGAUGAGGAUACAAAUCCCACCGUGGCAGAUUGUCGUCUUCCUAAUCAUCCUACAUACAUUCCCUCUAUUCAGUUCUGUCACCGUCCAUCACCCAAUCAGACGGUUGGAAACAGCAGUCCCCCACAGUCCAUCACCAUCAAGAAUUGAAUCUUGUGGGUGACCACAAACGAGCCAGCCAGCCAGCCAGCCCCUCCCAGUUGCCAACUCAGUAAAAGCUUUCUGCAAUUAUCCGAUGUGACAUAAGGGGACAAGGAAAAUGGGCAUUUUCUUCUCUUGCUCAUCACUUUGCCUCUUGUGCAGCAAUCAUGUGACAUGUUUUAGGACAUAUGCCCUUGCACCUACACUCUAGCUAGGUUUGAGGGUUUCUGUCCUUGAUAAGCAGAUCCCAUAUAUCAAAUGUUUUAAGAUCUUUUAUCAGUAAAUUAACUAAACCUUCUUAGUCCCUGGCUAUCACAUGUAUCGAUGGGCCUGCUGGGGUCUGCUUGUAUUCAUUUCAUGAAUUGUGUAUACAGCUUUACGAUGGCGAACCACAUAAGGUCAAAAACUCAAAAAUACAGGGAACCCAUUCUAUAAGCUUAAAAAAAUGGUAAAUUUUCCCCACAUUUUCUGUGAAUUCAAAUUUUCUCACGUCAUAUUUUAUAAUUUUUUUUCACAAUUAGCAUUCUGUGAGUGUUUUUCUUUUCAAUUAGCACGCUUUGAACAAUUUUGUCCCCAUGAAAGAUUAUAUUGUUAAUUUUACAUAGUAAAAUUAUAAAAACACUCUUAAAUGUGAACAAAUUAGCUAAUUUUGAAUUGAAACUAUUUUGAUAAUUUUAUUAGAAAAUAUUAACAAUCUAAUCCUCAUAAGAACACAAGUUGUCCACAAUGUUAAAAUUGGAAAAAAAAAUUCACAUGGUGUUAAUUGAAAAGAAAGAUAUUCAAAGAGUACUAAUUGUGAAAAAAAAUUAUAAUAUAUAUUAUAUGAAAAAAGUUAAAAUCACAAAAACUGUAAAUGGAGUUUUUUUUCAAAAAAAAAUGUUAUGUGGUAAAAACAAAUGUCUAAAGGAUAAAAGGAAAAAAGUGAAACUAACCCAAUAAACUUCAAGACUUUUCCAUUUUCGUCCUUGAUAGGUGAAAUAGUAAGAAGAUUCCAAAAAGGAGCUCCAUCUUUCUUAUAAUUCAACAAUCUCCCGCAAUAAUUUGUCCCUGCCUGCAAUGCCUCCCUAAUCUUGGCCACAUCUUCCGGGUUUGUACCCGCACCCUGUAAAAACCGACUGGAUCCCACCCACCCACCCACCCACCCAACAUUUAUUAAAAUGUCAAUAUUACCCUUCCUUGACAGUUAUUACAGUUAAUAAAGUCAUAGUAUUAAACAAAUUAAUGACACAAAUAUAAAGAAAGAAUUGAUCUUUACCAGUUCCUGCCUAUGACCUCCUUCGAAGUGUAUCCAGUCAUCUUAAAGAACCCGGCACUUGCAUAGAGAAUCGGGCAAUCGGGUUUGGUAGCAUCCGCAACUACGAAUGUUUGUUGAAAUGUUGACAAUGCAUCCUUCAAGUCCUCGGAUACUCUAGGGAAACCUCUCUCCUUACUGAAUUCGUUGUCUGAUUCUUCGGAGCUCCGAACCGAAUUAUUCGAGUUCCUACGAGAAGUACCAGGUUUGAUAUUCGGGUCAUCUCCACCCGAAUUCCUGACAACAACUCCUUGUGGUUUACCAGUUUCAUUGUCGGUUUUUAGUACCAGCCCCCAUUCCGCAGCUCUCUUCGCAGCCACUCCGGCUUCAUCCGAAGGAUUGGGACUCGCGGUUCCGCCAUUAUCACUGGUGAUCGUAUGAACAAGAGGUGAUUGUGAUAGUGAAGAUGAUGGUGGUGGUGGAGAUGGAGCUGAUGAUUUUUCCGUGAGUGCCAUCCAUGAUGUUAUUUCUUCAACCCGACCCGACUUGGAGGCUAGCUUGGAAGGGUCAGCUUCUGGGCUCCCACGUGGUUCUAUCAAGCUUUGCCACGUGGGUUGCGACCGAAAUGCCGGGUUGAUGGGUCGGGUUGAGAAAGUGGAAGGGUUGAACACUUCAAGCGAGCCCCGAGGGUCCCUUGGCAAUGGUGGGAACAAGGAUGAUUGCUUGGAUGAUUUUUCUGUUGGGUCCAUAUCUGCAUAAGACCAAAACUAAUGCAAAUAAUAGUGAAAAAAAAAUCUAUGUCUAGAUAGUUUACAUUGUCUAGUCAUGCAUCACAAGGCAGAGGGAAAGAAAACACAUCAUAAUUCAAAUCCAUGCAAAAAUUUUCCAGUGGGGACGAGGGAAAAAAAAAGAAGACAAAACAGAAAGAAUCCAAUACUUCUAACAUGGUUGAAAUUUAUGGCUUCAUCUAAAUCUCAUAUGCCAAUGUUUCAUCGACAACAUCAGUGGUGGGACAUGAAAAUGAACUGGGCUAGGAGCUUGGCGACAGAAGUUUUGGAACUGGAUUAUGAGGUGAUAAAAGAAGCACAAAAAGUCAGUUUGCAAAGUUACCCAGGGCUUCCAGGUCAUUUCAGGUUACUUUCUCCAUCUAACUUGUGUCUAAACUUCUAGUUUGGUGACCGCAAAGUUGUCUGCGAACCUCAUGUUUUUUGGGGUAGUUUAGUCAUGGGGAGUAGGUUAGGUGGAGAUGUGGUGGGGGAAAAUCAGGCCGGGCCAAGCCACUGAAAAACAGCCUAUUCACUUACCAGAGCUCUAGGCCAUUAUCUAGAUGUUUCCCUGAUUAAAGCUGUCACAGAAAAAAGAGCUCUUUGCGGCCCAUGAGAGUGAAAGAAACCUAACAAAGUUAUGUUACGGAAAACAAGAAUACUUUCAGUACAGAUUUUUUAGCAGAGAAAUUUCUGUCAUCAAUCUGUUUUAAGAUCAUGCAUUCUAGAGCUGGAGACCCAGAAGCAGAUUUCUUUUAAGUUCAGAGAAAGUAAACAUGGAAUUGAAGAGUACUCCAAGACACAACCCCAAGAAAAAAUGAUGACCAAAAAAUCCUGUUUUCUGGAUGAUCUUUUUCUAGCUGGAACUGCUGACUGCUGUGUACUUCUUGAGAGAAAUGGAAAAUCUUUGGAAGUAAAGAAGAAGCAAAGAACUUCGAAUGUGUAAAUCAGCAAACAAAUUACAAAGAGGCUACCUCAAGUGAAUCAAGCUGAGUCUUCAGAAUCAGAUCCUGGUUUGUUUUGCUUGCUAAAAGAAACUCUGCAAAGAUAUAACAGCUGACGGUUCUCAAGUUGAGCAAACAACCAAAACCUGGUGGAGUAAUAGUUCCAGGUAAAAGAACCACAGAAAGAAAAAGAGGCUUAAAGAUAACAGAGGGACAGAGAGAAGGAAGACGAGAAGAUAAUCGAAGUGAAACUACUUCUUAAUGGCAAUCAAAAAGGCCACGAAAAGGAAGGCAGGAAGGAAAACAGAACAGAAUGAUUGUCGUAAAGGUUUGGCUUCCCAUCCCUCUGGACCUGAAUUUCACAUGGCUCUUGCUUUUCAGCUCGGAUCCCUAUAACUCAAUCAUGGAAACAUCUAUAUAUAUAUUUUCCUUAAAAAGAAAGCUCCGAAGAAACAUAAGAUAAUUGUUUUCUUUCUAUCAAAAUAUAUAUAUACAUUUCCCUACAAAACCACUCACCUUAUACUGAUUUCUCGAUCCCUUUGGGUUUGGUAUAUACAGUCUGGAAAUGGGUUGGCAACAAAAAAGAAGAAACAAUAACAACAAAAGCAGAAUCAGUAGAAACGGAAGCAAAUUUCUGAAGCACGUUGAAACUUGCAGGACUAUCCCCGACCGUGGUGGUGGUCUCUUCAAGCAAUGCUUCCUUGGUGUCUUGGUUGGCUCCACUCAUACAAAUAAGCAGCCAAAAACUUCUUCCUUUCUUUUACUUUAAGGAUAAUUCAUUACUCUAAGACUUAUCAUCAUGAAAACAAAGUAGAAAAAGGAAAGGAAAUAUCUUUUCGAACUUAACUGCAAAUUGUUGAGGAUGACAAGGAAAUAGCAAUAUGAGAAGGGAAAAAAGCAAGAACGGCCGGUUUCUACCAUUUUAGAGGUAUCAUGAUGGACACGUGGCAAAUUGGCUGAUGUGGGGAAAUUGAGUGGUCGGAUGGUGGAAAACUUUUGUCAUCAUUUGAUUUGAUGGAAACUGCUCAACAUGAGAGUUAAAAAGGAUAGGACUAAAUAUAAAGGACCAUCUCUUUACAUUUUUCCUUGCUUUGCUUAUCCAUUUUACUUUUUGUUUGCAACCAUAAUCAUAAAAGUACGAUUAGAAUCCCAUUGCUUGCAUGCAAGACUUUUGAUUAAAGGGAAUGAUUUAAUUGUGUGGUUGGAGGAUAACGUUUUCAAGGCCUGCAUGAACUCUUCUGUAAAAGAGAACAAAUUGCAAUUUAUUCAAUUAGCAUUAACAUGUCUAUUAUUGUGGCUUGGCACAUUACAUGUUACCAUCUAAUAAAACAUUAUUGUUCAAGUUAAAACAUGCUUAGAUUCUUUUUUUUUUUUUUGGCUUAUAUAUCAUGUAUCAUUAGAAACAGAAUUAAAUCUAAUUUUUCAACUAAAAACUUGUUUGAACAUAAAUCCGAUGUCAUUUAAAGGGCGCAUUAUUAUGGUGGAUGGAGACUUCCAUCUCACUGCAUCGUCAAAUGGGCCAGUUAAAGGCGCAUUAUGGCGGUCGAUGGAGACUCUCAUUGCACUGCACCGCCAUUGGACGAGCCAGUUUAGAGUACAUUGUGGUGGAUGGGAGAUUGAUCUCACCGCAUUGCACCACCACUGGGCAGGCCGAUCAAGGGUGCAUUGCAGUGGACUGAAACUCUCACCGCACUGCAUUCCCUUUGGACCGAUCAAUUAAGGGUGCACUGCGGUAGAUGGAGAUUCUCACUGCACUACAUUGCACGUUGGAUCGACCCUACAGAAAUGUACAAUAUUAAAGAUAUAAUAGGUGGAAAACGAACUUAGCAUUGAGACUAUGAAAACAGAAUCAAGACCCAUGGGUAUCUAUUGUGUAGGUCCAUUUGAUUUAUAAUCAAUUUGGAAACCAGACAUAACAUUUUCAAUUUCUUCUUUGUCCAAGGCAAAUAGACUAGAACAAAAUAUAUUAAGUGCGAAACAAGCUUGACAUUGAUUUCAUGCCUUUGCAUAUAGGAUGUAUCCUAUUCAUUUUGAAAACACAAUCAAGAGUAUCUUUAAUGUAGGUCCAUUUGAUUUAAAAGAAACUUGGAGACCAAACAUAAUAUUUUUUUUGUUCUUUGCCAAUGACAUAUUGUACGGAAAAAUCGAAUGAAAUAGAUAAGUUUAACCGUAUAAAAUAAAAAUAUUUCUUUAUAUAUUUGAUUUAUCCCUUGAUGUAUCCAAAUUUCUUUGUUCAAAAAGUCGAAUUCAAUUUUUUCCUCGAUCAAUUAAAAAAAAUCAAAUAAGAAUAACGAUUUUCACUCAUUAUUUUAAUUUCUUCAACAAAUCAACAAGCUAAAAAAAAAAUACAUGCAAUUAAUUACUAACCCAAUUGUUAGAAUUUGACCUUGUUCUAACAAUUGAGAAAUGAGCCUCAUUGGCUACUCCCAAAGAAAUUAAUUGAUGGAAUUUUCCUAGCUAAUGGUUCUUUAAUACUAUAUUUAUGAAACAUAAAAUAGGUAUAUAGUGCAGCUGCUCUGGCUACUGUAAACCAGCUGUAAAAUUUACAAACUAUUAUUCUUUUUGCACCAUUUAUUCAUAGAUUCGAACCUAGGAAAAUGACCACACCUUUUUCCAGGAAAAGUUGUAGAAGCACAUGAAGAUUUCUUCUUUUAUUUUUUACUGAAAUAAUUAUUCACUUCAUAAAUUUUUCUGUGAUUCCUAUUAAUUUAUACAACAACAACUUUUCAAAAAAAAAAUUAUAUAACAAGAAGUUUUCAUAUAAUAAUGGGUACUCACUAUAUAUUUUUGAGAUAUCUAUGUUCAAACCCUAUUAUUUACUUAGAUACUUAAAUUCUAUAAAUACUUGAUUAAUAUUUAAAAAUUAUUAUCUAACUAUAUCCGUAUUAGAUAGCAUUACGCGUUAAAUACUCAAUUUUUCAAAACUCUUUAAUUUAUGAUUAUAAAGUUUAAUAUUGCCCAAGUUCGAUUCUUCAUGCAAGAAAAUAUAAAUUAUACUUAUUUGCAAUUUUAAAUUGAUUAUAUAAACGAGCUUAAGGUAUGAAUAUCUGAUACUAUCCAAAUAAAAACAUAAUCCGAUAUAAAUAUCAAGUACUUUAUCCGAAUCCAAGACAAAUAACAAACUUCCUACACAAACAUAUUUCGAAUCCAAAUAUAGAAUACACGAAUACUAUAUAAUUGAUCAAAUAGCUCUAGGUAUCUAAAAAUUAAAUACUCAUUGCCAUCCUUAUACGAAAGUAACACGUCAUGUUGGAGACAAAAAUGGUUAGGCUAAUGCUAACCACUUUUAUAUAAGGUAACAUGGACAUGGUCUAAUAUAAACUAAGAUUAGGGUUAAUUGAUUGGGAAAUAAGUAGAUGUUGUGUAUAUGUAUAAUUGUAUAUAUGAGAUCUAUAGAAUAGUAGCCCCACAUGCGGUAGGAACCAAGAGACAUGUGAAGAAAACUUUUGGGAUAACCUUACCUUAUCUGCUCACGGCUGAAAUGCUGAUUGUGGGCGUGGGAGGUCACAGUCACACGCUGCCUGUUGCACAAAGUUGUGCCCUUUUCUUGGUACGUCCGAUCAUCUCUGUCAAGAUUCAAGAUGGAUCGGACUUUUGCUGCUCUUGGUCCUACUUCCCUUGCCUCUCUUCUUGGGAAAAAUGAAGGAAAAAACGAAAGAAAAAGGCAUGGGAAUCAUGGUCUCGUGUGUUGUUCUUCAUACAAACAAAGGGUCUUUCAUGGCUUGUCCUCACCAUCACUCCCUCCUCUUUUGCCACAGAACAAAACAAGAAGUUAAAGAACAAGAAAACUUUGAAUCAAAAUUUUAUAUUUUCUACUAUGUAAAGCAUCCAAAGAAGUUAACACUUUAUUGUUUUGAUUUUGAGUUUUUAAUAUUUUACAUAUAAAGUGUAGUUUGAUAUAUAUACAAGUUAUUGUCCUAAUCGUACAAGUAGUAAACACCAUAUCCACGUAAUUAAUAUAUUAUAUCUUAGUACAUAUUUGACUUAAUUUUUUUUUCAGUUUAUCUAUCUCUUAAAAGUAAAAGUCAGACCAAACAUAAUUUUUUAAGAAGCUCUUUAAAAAAUAAUUUUUUUUUUAAAACAAAAUUUUUAAAAAAAAAGAGCUUAAAAAAAAUUCUAAGAAUGAGCUUUUUCUUCUCUUCUGUUAAAAAUAUGAGAGAAUUUUUAUUUUUAUUUCAGAGAUAUCUUCAUUUAUUAAAAAUAAUUACAAUAUUACCCUCUCACCAUUUGAUAACAAUCGUAUGGUCCAAAAAUUCUCACCAUCACUCGAAAUACAAAGAUUUUUGUUUUCCCUAAGAAAACAAGAACCAUGAUCUGAAUUGGUUUUAGUUCACUAGUUGCUUUCAAAUUGAAGGGCAGAUUUAAAUAAUAACUAAAUUUGUAAAACGACUAGAAAUCCUAGCCAUGAAAGAAGAUUCUUGAACCCUUUUUUUUUCUUAGAAUAUAUGCAAAUUUAGCUAUCAAUGUGUGGCAUGAAAUGGAGUAAAUUGAACAUAUUUAUUAUUCACGUGCCCAUGUUCUAAUUCCCAAAGACAUCAUCUUCAACUUUGGGCUGUCCACUAAAAAUCCCAUUUGCUCCCAACCACAAGCUUGGUUGGCCAACAAUUAUUGAUGAACUUUGAAUUUUACAAAAAAAAAAUAAUAAAUAAAUCAAUUUUAAGACUGAUUAUUAUUAGGUUAAAAUGGUGAAUUUUUAUUUCUUUGUGAAUAACACCCAGAACUUGUAUGUAUAUUAAACUCCAAACUUACCCCUUUUCAUCCUUCGGUUUGGGCUUAUAAGCAUUGGGAAUUGAUUCGGCUGAGGAAACUGGUCUACCUUUUUUUUUCCCUCACCCCAUUUUGUUCCUUCAUGGGCUCCCAAGCCCAUAAUUUGGACACCCACAGUCGUGACGAGUAUGGGUGGUGGUGUAUAAAUUUUACAUAUUAUUAUUUAAUUAAAUAUUAAUAUCUCAUUUACAAAAAAAUUUAAAAUUUAAAAACUUUAAAAGUAAAUAUUUAUAAUUUUAAAAAUAUUUAUUUUGAAAAUCUUUUAACAGUUUAUUUUUACGUAUUUAUAAAAUCUAUUGACACUUUAUGAUUAAGUGAUAAUGUAUAAAUAUUAUAUACGAAUAAUGUAUCAAAUAUAAACGUAUAUAAAUUUAGAGAGAUAUACAAACUAUACAAAGUCGGUGCAAGAUUUCACUUUGAAAAAUACCCGUAUUCAAUUUUUCAUGGUUUGUAUCAUAAAUAAAUUUACUCAAACCAUCAAAAAAAAAAUUUUCAAACCCAUGCAAAGAGGAAGGUAUCAAAAGAAAGAAAAAAUGUACAUGUAAGAAAACGAAAAUUCUUCUCUUUAGAUCCGAAUAAUUCUCAGUCCAAGCUGAUUUCUAUAGCUAUCCUUCUCCUUCUCCAUGCUUUGAACCGAAAACAUGGGAAGCAUCAAUAGCAAGACAAGAACAAGAACAACAAGAUCAUCAAAAACAACAAAAAAGCAAAAAACAAAGAAGAAAAACUGCAAAGAAAUUGCAAGAAACUUUCACCCUUUAACAACAAAUGACCUCUACGCAGCAGCGCAUGCAACAGAGUAGCUUUAGAGGGAUCGUCAUUUAUUUCUUCAUAGCCAUGGCUUUGCUUUACAUUCUGUACUCGAAUCUCCUGCUGAGCAAUGACCGCAAAGAUUGUCCUGAUGUAACCAAUCUCUCCACAAAAAUUGAAGCAGCAGUACCCUUCAACUAUUCCCCCACCACCUCUUCACAAGUUGAAAAAAUUGUAGAGGAAAAGAAAGUAGAGCCUGUACUUGAACCAGCCCCAGGUUACCAUCGAUAUGACUUAGAGCUGAAACACAUUGCUUUCGGGAUCGCAGCUUCCUCAAAUUUGUGGGAUAUCAGAAAAGAGUACAUAAAAGUAUGGUGGAGGCCGAAUGAGACUAGAGGGGUAGUUUGGAUGGAUAAGCAAGUAAGGACCAGGAGAAAUGAAGGGCUGCCUGAGAUUCGGGUUUCUCAGGACACUUCCAAGUUUAAGUACACAAACAAGCAGGGCUCGAGAUCGGCACUGAGGAUUUCAAGGGUUGUUUCGGAGACACUUAAGCUUGGAAUGAAGGAUAUCAGUUGGUUCGUAAUGGGGGAUGAUGAUACAGUUUUUAUUGUGGACAAUGUGGUAAGGGUGCUUUCCAAGUAUGAUCAUACACAGUUUUAUUAUGUUGGGAGUGCAUCAGAGAGUCAUAUUCAGAAUAUAUUUUUUUCAUAUGCUAUGGCCUUUGGAGGGGGUGGAUUUGCAAUAAGCUAUCCAUUGGCAAAAGAAUUGGCAAAGAUGCAGGAUAGGUGCAUCCAGCGAUAUCCAGCAUUAUAUGGCAGUGAUGACAGGAUUCAGGCUUGCAUGGCUGAGCUAGGAGUGCCUCUCACCAGGGAACUUGGCUUCCAUCAGGUAAUCUUCGGCCUCUUCGAUUUCGCUCUUGCCCUAUUCACAAUGGGAAAGAAUGAAAAUAUAUGAAAUUAUAAACUAGUUAUAAAUUUAUAAAGUAGGAUAGGAAAAGGAAGCCCUUCUUUAUCUUCAUUCAAGAAUUUGGAAAGCGGGGGUAACUUGUUUUUUUCUUAUGCUUGUACAGUAUGAUGUUUAUGGAGAACUAUUAGGCCUGCUGGGAGCCCACCCAGUGACUCCAUUGGUAUCACUCCACCACCUAGAUGUAGUGGAACCUAUAUUCCCUGGCAUGAAACGAGCCAGAGCCCUUGCACACCUGCUUGAAGCUGCCAAAGAGGACUCGGCAAGUCUGGUGCAGCAAUCCAUCUGCUAUGACUCGAAACGAUUCUGGUCAAUCUCAGUCUCUUGGGGCUAUGUGGUUCAAAUCUCGAGGGGAGUAAUGUCUCCCAGAGAGCUUGAGAUGCCCACUAGAACUUUUCUUAAUUGGUAUCGGAGGGCUGAUUACACUGCUUAUGCAUUUAACACUAGGCCCGUCGAAAGGCACCCUUGCCAAAAGCCUUUCGUUUUCUAUAUGAGCAAGAUCAAGUAUGAUCGUGCUAGGAAGCAGACAAUAGGGGUGUAUUAUCGCCAUAAAACACGCAGCCGUUAUUGCCGUUGGAGAAUGGCCUCUCCUGAGAGAAUUUAUUCUGUUGUAGUCCUAAAGAAACGAGAUGAUCUUCGAUGGCAGAAGGUGCACUUUCUACGCUUUUUCUAUUCAGAAUGUUAUUGAGUAGAACACUGUCCAAAGAAAUUACAGAUGCUGUUACUAACUGAAUCCCAAUUUCGUUUUGUAGUCGCCAAGGAGGGAUUGUUGCAGAGUUCUUCCAUCAAGGAAAAAUAAUACAAUGGUUUUAUCAGUAGGAAAUUGCAGAGAGGGUGAGGUUAAUGAAUUACAGACGAAAAGGGGAUCUUCAUAGGUCUUUUUUUUUUUUUUUAUCUUCUUUUUUCACCAUGGCCCAAGGCAUACAGCAUACAAGAAUAAGUUUAAUGCCAAGGGUCUCAAGAAGAACAGAGAUCAGAGGUAAUUUUGAUACUCCAACAGGCUCAGGAAAGAAAACUAUUUGCCCACAUUACUAAUCAUGAAAUGAGUCAUACAUGAUUGCAUGCGUUUCUCUCUUGUUGGUGUCUGUAUUUGUAAUUCAAUACAAACAAAUCAACAACAGUUUAUAUGCAGAAUCACUUGUUACAGAAGGUUCCCUUACUAUCUCUUUUGCCAUAUUCAUGAUACAGCAAAAGGAAAAAUGUUGUACCUCUAAUUCCAUAAGGGGGGCACUUGAGAUCCUAACUACAACAUCGACAGAAAAGAGAAUUCCUAAAAACUGUUUUCUAUUUUCAGAAACAAAUUCUUCAAUUACUUUCACUCACUGCAUGUGCUUCAGUUCCAUUCCCUGUGAGAUUCUGUGGGACUGAGGCGAUUGGAGAUGUAGCAGACGCCAGGAUGGCGAGUUCAAUCUGAGAAGUAUUAAGAGGCAAUGGCAUUUCGACCGGAUGUAUGGCCACAAUUCUGCCAUCCUUGAUCUCCACAGUCACUGCUUUAAUUUUCAAACCAAAAACAAAAGAUUCAGAGGUAAUCAACACUGAGCAAAAGCAAGUUUUUGAGAUACACGAAAGUAGUUUCGUCUGCAAUUGCCUUUUCUUUUUCUUUAUAUCUGCUUUCUUGAGGGUCAAACAAGAUGGCAUAACCCCAAAAGCUAUUUUACUACUGUCAGAAUCAAAACAAAUUCUGGCUUCUGAGGCAUCCAAUGAAUAGAAACCAAAAGGAAUGAUCAUUUAAGCAACUUAAUGAUUUUCUUUCCUUUUCAUGCCAUUUUUCUUGAGAUCCAAACAAAGGCUACAGGACGAUUUAGCAAUAAUUCUAAUAACAGAACUGCUUAGAAUGAGACUGCAAAAGCUUUAAUUUCUUUUAUUCUCACACUGUAAUCACAAUCAAGACACAAAUAAUGGUCUAAAGAUUAAUAAAUAAUAAUUAACAGAAGCCGAGAAACUAUCAAACAAUUAUUAGCAAAAAGCCAGCUUCAAUUUAACCCAUCAAAGAAAUAAAGCCAGAAACUUUACUUCCUCACCAAUGAACAGACAAGAAAGGGAACAUUUGAAGAAAAACUAGAAAAGGGAUCUUGAAAACGAAUGCACCCAAUCUAGGACAACAUCAAGACAGACAGAAAUCAGAAUAAAGAAGGGAGAGCUUGCAUGGUUUAUUGAAAAUCUUGCAGAAGAACAUCAACGCUACCUGGACGAGAGAACCACCAGAGGAUGAAGAAACUGAGUAGGACGACCACGGGAAUGGCAUGGGUCCAUUUCUCUGCCAAUGGAAACACUCGAGACUUAGAGGCCCCUCUUUCCUUCUUGGCAACUUUACCCUGUGGUAGCGAAACUGGAAGAUGACCAGGUCUCAUCAUGUUUCAGGAGAUCUGCUUUUCUUCAAGCUGCUUGAGAGAGAGAGAGAGAUUUGCUGAAGAUUGAGAUGGAGAAAACGUUUGGCGUUGUCUUGUAGGGAGCUGAAGUAAGAGGGCUAUGGUUUGCGGUUAGUUAGUUUGGCUUCUAACGACUUUAGGCGGGAAAUCUUUUGGUAUGCGACAGGAAGAGAACUUUGUGGGAAUCCAAAACUUUUUCAAUCUUAGCAAAGGUUUGGAAUUAGAAAGCAAUAACUGGGUGAACUCAGCCCAGCGGAGCUUAGCUGAAGCCUUUCCAAGAUCCUAAUGAAUGCGGCUUUCUUUCUCAUAACUGACGUUUAAUGAUAUAUAAGCUAAUACUGAAUAUUCACUUCGUACAUGUAAGACUGCAAAAGUGACUCUUGAGUUUGGAAUUUGGGGUUAAAAUUAACAAAUCACCCUUUUCAUUGUAGGAUUAAGCACGAGAGCAACAUGGGAAGGAACUCAUCACUGUGAAUAGUAAGGUUAAUUUAUUAUUAGGUGAAAAUGGUUCCUACAAAGAAGCAUCCUACAUACAAGGACCCCAACUCACAUGUACAGCAGCAGAAGUGGGGGGAAAGGAAGAAAGGAAAUCUCUGUAUGUGAAGAUUUAAAGAUGGAAAGUGUGCCAGUUAUCUUCUGUGAUGCAAAAAUUGAUAACCAGGCACUGUGAAUUAACACCGCUGAACAAUAUUUGCCACUUUCUUUUAUUUCUAAUUUUGUCCUCCAGCUCAGUAAGUCUUAGGCUCAUGAUCUGCAACUGGUCCUCUAUCGUCAUCCCUAGUCACAGCCAAUGUAGCAGUGCUCCUGCGAGAGCUCUGAACAGGAUUGCUUGGGUCAUAUUGCUGGGAGGCUAGGUAAUUCAGAGCCAUAACCACAUCGGAUAUGGCUGGCCGCAUAUUAGGUUGCUCCUGAACACACAUUGCAGCAAUGGCAAGCGCUUGGUACAGACCUCUCACAGGGUAUUGACCUUGCAGCAGAGGGUCAACCAUUCGUGAAAAAUUCCUUCGAUCUCUGAACAUGGGCCGUGCCUGCAAGCAAAUAAGCAAUUAAGCAUUUAUAGAACAGAUCCAAGGAACCACUUGCAAUAAUUACUAUUUCCCUUCAUCAACUUGCCUUCUAAAACCAGUUCCUUAAUUGCUAUAUAAUAGUAGAAUUAUCAGCUAGAAGACACAGGACAAAAACUACACUUGGCCAAAAAUAUUUAACCCACAAUUUCUUACAGAAUUUCCUUAUAAAAUGAAGAUAUCAAAGCAAAAGAUAGAUGACACUUCCAGCAAACUUAUUAAGGAAAAAAUCAAUUGAGAUUAUAUACUACAAAACAAAACCAGAUUCAUCACUAUCGCACUUUUAAACAGAACUACAAUCCCAAUAAAUAUGAUAAACAGGCCAAAAUGAGUGAAGACGGAAGAAUGAUUUUUAACAGACAAUCUUAAAAUGGAAAUAUAACCAAUUGAAAUAUCAAAGACAUUAAUUAAUAAAAGUGGAAUAAGCUUUAUCUUACCCAUGCAACAAGAUUUUGCUCCCCAUGAUCUCUUGUAUUGUCGAUUGCUUUCCUACCAGUAAUUAGUUCCAAAAGGACAACCCCAAAGCUGUAAAUAUCUGAUUUAAAGGUCAGCUGUCCAGUCAUUGCAUAAUCUGGCGCACAAUAUCCAUAUGUCCCCAUAACCCUUGUAGAGACAUGAGUCUUAUCCCCAAUGGGACCCACUUUGGCCAACCCAAAAUCAGAUAGCUUCGGAUGGUAUCCCUCACCAAGCAAAAUAUUGGAGCAUUUCAAGUCACGGUAUAUGACAGGGGGCUUCAUUUUAUCAUGCAAAUAUUCUAAGCCCCUUGCAGCACCAGCUGCUAUUUUCAUCCUCAUGUUCCAAUCAAGUGGUUUUCUGCUAGGUGGAAGAUCUGUAGCCAUGGAGGAGAAACGAUAAGAAAGUUCAUGACAUAAUUGGUAGAGAUAUCAUAAAAGGUAAACAGUAAAAUAACAAGAUCAGCACGGAAAUGCUAAGAAGAUUUUGCUUACCAUGUAAAUGGUUCUCCAAAGACCCUAAUGGCAUGUACUCAUAAACCAGUAGUCUCUGCUCAUCCUCAGCACAAAACCCUAUCAAUUUUACUAGAUUUGGGUGCUCAGCCAUGCUUAAUGUCAGUACUUCAACAACAAACUCCCUAACGCCCUGAACACCAUUACGAUCAAGUUGCUUGAUAGCGACAACCUACAUCAGAAAAAAAAAAGAACAGCAAAGUAACCACCAAAUUCACCAAAGAUAAUGCAGAACUGAGAUAUAAUACAGGUUCACCUAGUAUAAUACAGGUUUGUUAAGUUGAACUGAGAUAUAAAACAAUUAAGUUAAGUAAACCAAGUAAUUGAGUAACAAAGUUUUGAUAGGAUAUAUUCAUAAUUUUCAACAACAUUGACAGCAAGACAAUAUAAACUCAACUAACCUCGUUUGUUUUCUCCAAGAAUCCCUUGUAAACUUUUCCGAAACCUCCUUCGCCCAAGAAACAAUCCGAUCUAAAGUUGCCUGUUGCAGCUGCGAGCUCAGCAAAUGUAAAUGAUUGUGCCAGUUGGCUAGCUUUUCCAUCCUUGGAAACCUCAUCAUUCAAAUUCAAAUUCUUUACAUCCAACGAUAACUGGUCAUCCUUGGCUACCUCUUCCUUCUUUACACUCUCAUAUGGACUGACUUUCAGUGCGUCUUUUAGCAGAUGUAUCAAAAACCAAACAAAAAAAACCAAGAAAAAGACAUAAGCCAAGGCCCCAUGAAUAGGAAAGGCCAAACAGAGAUUUUUGUUUAUAAAUGGCCACAAUCAUCAAUUUUUAAAGUGAACAAAGAACAAACAAGGACAAAUAGAACACCCAGUACGGAUUUUGGAUUAUAGAAUUGAUCUUUCUUCCCUAUCAUGCAAACAAACAAAAAACCUACUAACAUAAUUGCACAUACAGCACAUGUUAAGAAGAUACUAUAUAAAAAUUUCACCAAUACAUCAUAAUUAAAUCACUACCAAUCUGCUCAAAGAACAUAUUAAAUGGAUAAAAGAAGUACUUAAAACGCGAAGUCAUUAGCUUUAACAAUGGAAAAAUAUGAGAUAUAGAGAAAGAAAACAUCAUGACCAAAGAAGAAUCCAUUUUGAUUUCAACACCCCUUAUCAACAAAAAACCAAAGUAACGAAAAAUUGUAAAAGAAAAUUGGGUUAGGAAGAAAAUCGACAACAAAAAUGUUCUAAAAUCGGAUACCUUGAUUUCCUAGGAGAACAACAGAAAGAUCAAGAGUGGCACAUAUCGAAACAAAAAAACACAAGAAAAAUAGUGAUAACAGCAACAACAAAAAUCAAACACAUGAUCAGACACAAUGCAUUUCAUUUCACAAAAAAAAAAAAGAGAAAGAAAACAAUAAAAAAAUGCAUAGAAUUAAAACAUAUUCAAUACCCGAACUGGCUUGUGUAUGAUCAUGGUGUGUGUUUCUCUUGCUGCUGUAGUCACUCCCGUUCCUGUUCUUGUUUGUUGGCUUCUCUGAUCUUUGGCUUGAAUUCCCAGCGCAACAAAAACAACCCAUACUCAAUAAUAAUUAUAAAACAAUAAUAAUUGUAAUUAAAAUCUUUCCCUCCUUUUCUCUAUUUUUCUUUCCCUUUCUCUCUCCUUCUUUCUUUUUUCCUGCUCUUUCUCAGCUGCACAGAGAAAAUUUGAACCCCCAAGAAAGUACCAACAGAACAGAAGGAAAAGCAAAUGCUUCGAAAGAGAGAGAGGAGAGGAAGACAAAUUAGUACAACCUUAGGAGAAAGAAAAUCAGAACGAAGGAAAAUAAAUUUUCAUUUGAGGGUUUUAUUCGUUCUAUUUCUUAUAAUUUUAGGUAGUAUUCAGGCGUAAACCAAUUCAGGAAGACUCGUUGAAGACUAAACUCAAAAGAAUGCGCCACGUCAUAUAGAAAAGGGUUUUUGGGUCAUAUCAUGUGGGAGAAACAGUGCAGUAGUUUUUUGUCCGGUUCCUGUUCUUAAAAAAAACCCAUUUGCUUACGUGGUGGCCUUUGAUUGUCCCACAGUGAUUCGGCCGCGAGUCAGUCGUCGCAACAGAUCUUUGUCCUCUUGUAUAGUGGAAAAACAAAAUUUUCUUUUUUUUUUUUGUUUGUGUGAGUGCCACUUGGCAGGUGACGUAUGCAUCACAGCCAGCCUUUAAUCACCGUCUAAUAUUUCAAAUUUAAGGAAGGUCAAACGUUUCGGAGGGAGCCACCUGGAUUGUGGGACCCACUGGCACACGCGGUUUUUUGUAUUCAUGAUUCAUUUAACAGCUGAACGGUGAUCCACGCGUUUCAAAAAAAAUUAAAAAUACUCGCAAUCAACAGUCUAGAGGAUCCAGGCCAAUGGUGCGGUUACAUCUGUCAGGCUUGAACUGGGUUCCACAGCAGCUGAUCACCGCUGGAAUUUAAAUUUCACUGUACAUCAGUUGGUAAACGCUUUGGAAUUCGGUUUAGCGCAGGCAGGAAAGUUCCAGCCUCCAGGAAUUUUGCAAUCCUUUCCCCUUUCCCAUUUAAUACUACUAAUAUUUUUAAAACUUAAUUUCCCAUAAAUUUUAUGCCUUUGUUUUUCAAUUUUCUAAAAUUUUCAUAUAUUAUUAAUAAAUUAAAUAUUAUAAUCUUGUUAAUAAAUAAAAAUAAAAAUUCAAAACCCUCAAAAAUAAAUAUUUGUAAUUUUAAAAAUAUUUAUUUUAAGAAUUUUAGAAUUAAUUUUUACAUAUAUAUGAAAUAACAUUAUGUAAUUCAAUGAUAAUUUAUAAAUAUUAUAUAUUUUAAUAAUAUUUCUGUUAUAUAUUUGUACAUACACUCUUUUGUUAAAAAUAAAAUGUUACCUCUCAUAUUUAUACAAUUCUUUAAAAAAAAAUUAUAUUAUCACUUUCUUAUUGAAAUCAUCUUACCGCUUCAUGUAUUAAAAAAGUUAUAUUUAUGAAUGAUAAUUAAUCAAAUAGUUACAUCCUCAAAUUCAAUAUUACUAAGAUUAAACACUUCGAGAUACGUGUAAAAAGAACAAAGAUUUUCUUACUUUUUUAGUUCUAAUUUUGAAUUUAAAGUAAAAUUACAAGUAAGUUUCAACUUAUUACAAAAAUACUGUUUUUAUGGAAAUGCCCAAAUAAAUGGAAAUUCUUCUCCAUUGAUUUGACAUUAAUUAAACAAGCAUUGCAUAAACAAAUGUCAAGCAAAGCUUAAGUUUCAAGGUAAUUGCUCUUUAUAUAUAGUAAUUAGUAUCAUUAAUGAUUACUUUUGCCAAAUAUGAAAAAAAAAAACUUAAUUUUAAAGUAUAUAAAGGUACAAAUUUUGUUAAGAGACCAAGAUUUAUAAGUUUAGAAAAGAUUACAUUUUACAUGAAUUAUCAAUAUGUCAUAAUCUUUUUUAAAAAAUAGCUCGUAUACAAUUUAUUUCUAAAAUAAUUUUAUAAUUAAUAAUGCAUUUAUAUAUCUGUUCAAGUUUUAAUAAAUUUAGCACAAUAAAUAUAAAUAAAAAAAACACGAGAGUUUCAAUCAACAAAGUAGUUCGACGGGUGGAUUUUUUUUUUAAUUUUGAUUAUAAAUUUAAAUUAUAAUAAUAUGAAGGAUACAAAAACUAUAUACCUAAUUCCCAUACGUGUUCAUAAAUCCAAUCAAAUAACAACAUAAUUAGGGCAUGGCCGGUGCACCAAAAGGUCUAGAAAACAAUAUUAUAUUAUGAUUGAUAUAGAAACUUCCAACUAUAUAAAAAAAAAUCAUUGGUUAAUUAUCAAAAGAAACAGAAGCCACAUGUAGGGGUAAGAUCAAUAAUAAAAACUUAGGUAGAUUAAUACACUUGGCACAUACCCAAACCAAAAUUGGGAUUUAAAUGUUAUAUUUUACCUAAAGUUUUGAGAUAUUUAUUUCAUUAAUGAUUUGAUUUAAUUAUCCCAAAGUUGAUGAGUGGGGUAUUUGGACUAAGACAGACAGAAAAGAUUGGUGGUUCAUUACCAAUUAGAGACAUCCAACCGUUUUUUCAGUUAAUUUUUUUUUCCAAUGAGAGCUUAAACUAAUGAUCAUGUUUGGCAACCAAGAUUUUAUGUCUAAGCAAAAAGACAGGACAUUUACACAUGACAGGAUUUUUUAACGGAAUUUUUUAUCAAAAUUUGUUAAUAAUUAUAUUUUUAUUGGAUUUUUAACUUUUUUUGACAAAAAAAUGGGAACUUUUUUUAGUGUGAAGAGAUUAAAAUAAGUGGAAUUAGAAGCUUAAUUGAUAAUAUUAAAAGCUAGUAAAGUGGUAAUCCCAUGUGCUUGGCUUGUAAAGGAAAAAGCUUUGUUUCACCAAAAUUGAUAUGGAAAUCAUCCUUUUCUUUAUCUCUAACUCGCUUUAUUUGUAUUUUGCAAUUUUUUUAAUUUAGACUCAAUUAAUUAGUCAUGAUAUUUUUUUAAAAGUUUAAUUUAACUUACGCGUGUAAUUCAUAGGUUUGUGUAUAAAAUUUAAAAGUUUUAUCAUCGAUAUAUAUAAUAAAAUUAAAAAAAAAAAAAAAAAGCACAAGGAACAUAAUUUCAUGUAUGAUUGAUUCAUAGUCACAAAAGUCACAAAGGGGGACCAAAUACCUCAUUGCCCUUUAUUUUUUUUUGCUUUUGUGUUGUAAUUGGUAGCAAUUAAUAAAGCCACAGUUUAGGACUUUUAGGGCCAAUUGUUUUGUGUCAGACAAAAGUUGACCUUUGAGUUGUUAAUUAGAAUUGUAGUCCCAAAAUUUUGUUUUUAAAUUUGGAUUUUGUUAAUAAUUAUUAUAUUAAAUAGUAUUAUAUAUGGUAUUAAAUUCUUUUAUUUAGUAUAAAUAUGUUUUAAUGAUAUAUAUUAAAACAUAUUUUUAAGAGACACCAUAAUAAUUUUUUUUAAAAUAUUAAUAACUCAAAUUUAAACUCGAACUUUUUUUUUUGUUAUUUAAAAAGAAAAAGAAAGAACAAAAUAACACCUUUUGAGAGGUAAAGACUCAUUGCUCACAUUUUUUCUUUUCAUUUGCUUGUAUCCAACAACAGUAGCAGAAAGUUCCCACUUAUUACUUAUCAGCUUUGCAAUAAUCAUGCUUUGCUUUAUGAAAUUGUUCUUUUCCCCUUUUCCCAUUGUUUUAAUGUAAAAAGAAUUCCCUUAAUAAUAGACACAGUGAUUAUAUAUUCGAAUAUUUAAUUCAUUAAUUAAUACAUUAUCUUCUAUCAAAAUAAUAAGAUUUAAAUCUUCUUUUUUCAAAACAUAAAAAUAAAGAUAAAGAUUAUAGAGAUAGGCAUAGAGCCAUUUAUUUAGUUCCUAUUUUCAUUUCCCCCCCACCCCCCCCAAGUUUGAGCUCAUGUUCUUACUCUAUUCAGGCAUAGAUAGGAGUCCAGGAAGGAGAUUGUCUCUUUCAAAUUAGGUUAAUAGACAUCUAUUUCCUUGAUGCACAUAUUGAAAAGCGACAGAUUUACGACAUUACUUGAAGACAUACAAUGAUUUAAAUUACUGUUAAAAUAAGAGAAAAUCUUGAUCUAUAAACUCGAAACUCUGAUAUUGGGUCUCUAUCUUCAUUGAUGCACAUGCUAUGGUAAAUGAGUGAAAUCUUGAAGCUUAAGUUUAAGACUUUCUUUCCUUCACUCACCCACUUUCUAGACAAUGAUUUAAAGUUGUGAAAGGAAGGGGAGCUUUAGCCUUUUGUCAAUCUUUCCUUCCUACUGAUUUUCUUCUUUGUCAAUAAAGCCUGAAACAAAUGUUGACCAUGUGUCUUGCCAGAUACUGCUAGCACUUAAGGAGUGGGGGGUGAAGUUAAAAGAGAAGGAAUACUUUACAUGGCGUAUAGCAAGGAAUCAAACAAGUUAUGGUACAUUUUCUUCUGCCAAAAUAUCGUGGUUGUUGAUCCACCAUUUAAUAUAAUCCAUCAAUGCUGUUGCCAAUUGCAUUCAAGAGGAGCAACCACCAUUGCAUUUAAGAAAGAUCCUGUCUAAUUGUAGAAAUAUAAAUUUUUUUUAUCUCGUUUCAUAAUUUUAUAUGUGUUUUAUCUUAUGUUAUUAAUUAAAAACUUUAAUAAGAUAAAAGAUUUAUUAAACACAAGAUAUAAAAUUACGAAAAAAAUAUCAAACGAGAUAUCAAAUAAGACAGAAAAUUUCUACUCGAAUAUUUUGAAGUUCUUAUCCUAAAGUUGGAAACAGUUCAUUAAAAUGUUAUUGCCAUUACUAUAAUAUCUUCAACCAAUUCGAUCUUCUAUCCAAGAGUUGAAGGAGCUAGGAAGAGUGCCCAAAUUUCUAGGGGCUGAGAGGGAGCAAAUUCUUUGCUUAUCACAAACUCUCUAAUGGCCCAAGCUGUUAAAUGAGUCAGCAACAGCUAAAAAAAGAGGUCAUGGUUUGGUUUGAAGUUGAGUGUAGGCCCUCCUUUCAGCUAUAUAAACCUUCCUGCCUUCUACGGUUUGCCUUGUCGUAUUUCCUUUUUCUAAUUAAGGAGAACCGCUAUUCUGGUAGCAGAUUUCACUUUUUCAAUGACAAGGUCGUGUAGUUAAUUUGUACGAGUCCUACAAGUUUACUUUGCAUCCGACCAAGCACUUCCCUUGACUUCCAUCCAGUUUCUGGAACAAGAAUUCUGCAUUCACAGAGACCAACUGACGCUAGAACCCAGAAUUCAUCAUCUGGUGUUUGUUUCUUAUGUCUGAAAAUUGAAACCUUGUAAACCAUGGGUGACAUAGCCUAUUUCCUGAUCAUGAGAUUCAGUGAAAGAACUGCCACCAUUGAAGAUCCAUAGAGGGAGCUUCAGUUAGAUAUAAUUGCAUCAUCCUAUUAAGAAUAAAUAAGAUUUCUAGUUAAGAAUUGAAUUAGGACAACAGAGUUUGAAGUACAGAGACACCAACGCCUGCUUAAUUCCAUGAAGAAUAAUAGGAAAUUAUCCCAUCCAAGAUCAGUCUCCAUGCAGCAAUUCAUCAUAGUUUACAAUGAUAACAUACAGUUCAAACUAUUCAUAUAAGUUCUAAAAUUCUAUUGUUUGUUUUCGUGCAAUAUACUAUUAGCCCCUCAUCAAAGGAAAAGAGAAAAAAACCCAUCAGUCCAUAUGGAAUGUAUUCCUUCCCUAAACACACAGCCAGUGCUCGUCUCAUUUACAAAUAUUUAUAUGCAUUAGCAGGGAAAAGGGUCAAGUUAGCAAUCUGCAACCCUGCCUGUGUUAUCUUACACUAUCAGAAGAAUUGUCUUCAGAUGCGAGGCCAUUACUCACACAAUCUUUUCCUCCAUCAGAAUCAGACCUGAGAAGCAAAGAGAUAGUCAGAAAACUGUUUAGAGGUGUACUAAUCAUGAUGAAUCAAUAAUCUACAUUCCAGUUUGAAUCAUCAUACACUAGCUGCCGCACAAACUGUCCCUUGACACGAGGUCGUUGUUCUGCCAGCCUUUUCCUGCUCUGGUAUCUGACCUGAGAAGUAAGAACCACAGAAGGCAGCUUAGUUUGAUCAUACUCUUACUAGGCAAGUGCCGACUUCACAUUCUUCUUACAAAAAUCAACAGCAGGCUGAAUUCACAUUUAUAGUGCUGCUAUAUUCGCUCAACUAUCCAUAGAAGUUGGUCCGAGUAAUAAGGCAAAUUGUUUGCAGACAUGCAAUUUUUGUGAGUGCAAUUAAAAACAAGAGAUGCACGGAUUACACAAUUGAUAAGAAGUGAACCCAUUAUAAACUAUUUUAAGAACAUUCAGAAGAGAGUUAAAAGAAAUGAAUCACUUCGUGUAUCACUCCAUGUAAACACUACUUCUGUUUCAUCAAUUCAAUUUAUCCUCAACGCUAUAAUUGACAUUCUUACAACUUCCUGGUUGGAUCAUGCAAAUCCGUUAUAUGCUUCUAGCCAGGUGUGAGAUGAUGCUGUCCAAUUCCUAUCAUCCAUUAAACUUUCAGACACUUAGAAAUGAAUAUCCUAUCCAAUAAGGUAAACAUGACAUAAUUUGAAACUUGGAAACAAACUCUUUGAUUUAUUAAGACAAUUAUACAGUUACUAUGCAAACCAUAUUGUUGCUCUAUUGCAAAGACAUAAAUGAAAAAGCGAAUUACCCGCUUCUCAAAACAUCUUUCUUUCCUUUUCUGACGGAAUUUGGUCAAGGCAGCCACUCUCUGUGCAACCCUAUCUUCAUCUGCUCCACUACCGCUGCUUCUCCCACUCAUUGCACCAGCUGCCCCAUUUUCACUUUCCAUGAUUGCCUGUUCAGCAUUUAAAGCAGUGCUGCUCCCAUUAGGUCCAUUGCUGCCAUAGUUACUCCCCGAGGCACUCCCAUUUACACUAUAGUUCAUAAUAUUACAUUCAGAGGGCCCUUCAAACACAUUGAAUGAUCCACAUUGUGGAGCAGUUACAGCCAUAAUCUUCAGUGAGGUAUCAUGGUCUGGCUGCAACUGAUGCUGCUCUUUCUCAACUUGGUGGAGAUGACAUUGGUGCUGCACGUGAAACACCUGGUUUGAACUUCUCGAUUGUGAAUGAGCAGUUUUAAAUCCAGUAUCAUCUGCCUUCUCGGUUAACACGUCAUGUGAUGAACAAAUAUGACCAUUCUGCAUUGGUUGGAAGGAAGAUGAGUGAGAGUGUUUAAAUGCUGACAUGGCCCCGCACUUGUCAUUCAAAGCUUCUGGCUUUGAGCUGGCACAUUUAGCAGCGGUGAUAACAUCAUUUUUGUUGCUGCUUCCAAUUGAUGGCUGAUUCAAAAGAAUCCCAUUUGAUUGAGAUGCAAAAGUGCGCACUGUUUCUGUCUUCAUUGUAAUAGAACUAUUAUCAAGUGGAGAACAGCUUCCUACAUUUCCUGUGGGAACCUGGAAUCAGGGAAACCAAAAUUAGACCAACUCAAAGAGUCUUGCCCUAUGGACUCACUCUUUUUAUGGUUUUACUAUCAUAUCAUUGGCAGCACAAUAGUUGCAGUAAGCAACAUGCAAGCAAGUGAUUAAGUGGAAAAGGGGAAAUGUUGUGAAUUUGCAGUGAUUAAAACAUUGACAUCCGCUAUACUUGCCGCCUGAGUGCUAUAUACCAUACCUGAUUAGCAGAGGAUGCGGUACUGUAUCUGCAUAUUAAGUACAGGAAAGGAAGGAAAGUGAGAAGAAUGAUUUCAAGUUUGAUUGUAAUAUGUUAAAAGCAAUAAUGUGGUUUAGAGUCUGCAAGUAACAUUCUUACUUUGAGAAAGCUGACGAAUCAGAAUGUCUCAAAACAUUGUGCUCAUCAUUGGCAGCGAUUUGACUAUCUGCUGCUCCUUGUAGCCUCUUAAGAGUCAGUUCAAGUGAUGGUGUUUCUCCAGACCCAUGGCAUGUUCCAUCUUUGACUUCUGGGAUAUAAGAAGGGCCAUUGGGGGCAUCAGAAUCUCUGCUUUCAGCUUGUUGAUUGAGACAGCUGGAAAUUGUACUAAUUACAUUAGGGGUUCGAUCCUUGCCAGCUAUGUUCUCAUUCUGGUGCUCCAACUGUCUGCUGUCAAAUUGCUUGCAUUCUGCUUCAGGCAAUCCAUUCUGCUUUAUGCUUUCCUGAUGAGUAGGUAGAUUUUCAUGUUGAUGUCCACUUUGCAGUUCUGGAUUUCUUUUAACUCUUAGUUCCACGUCCUUGCCCUCUGCAUCAUCAUCUAGAAAACAAGUGCAUAGAGCUUUAUUCACAAACAAGAAAAAGUGAAAGAAAGAUCUAAAUGAUCAAAACAGAAUAUCACAAGGCAUACCAACUAACUGAUGCUGUUCUUGGCAUUCUUUUGCCUUGGUAACACAUACCCACUGAAUCCUACAUUUUUCAGGCUUUAAAUGGACCACCUGAGCGCAAGUGCUAUCAGGAGCAUCAGGCAAUUGAUUUGAGGAUGACAUUGGCUGAGAGCUCUCAGCUUCAGCUGCCCUUUUUGUCCAUGAACCCUAGAAAGAGUAUAAACAAUCUUAACCAUAACUAUCAGUAAUAUCCUAGAUCUCAGAUGUUAAAAGUUGAAAAGAUUAAUAAUUGCAGUAAUAAUCCCUCCCCCUAAGUUUUCCCCAUUUAGUUGUGUAACUUACAACUAUUUGCAUAUCCUUACCUGAGUGCCACUCCCAUUUUCGCUUCCAUCAUGGACAAUCAGAUCAUCACUCUUGUUAUCAUGCUCAUCACUGCUGCCAGCAUAAUUCUCAGACUCAUCAUUACUUUUUGACUUAAUAUACCUUUUUGACUGGGUUCCACUUUCACUCCCACUGCCGCUAGACUAAGAAAGAAUGAGAUAUUAAUCCAAAAUUCAGGAGAUACUUUAAAACUCAUUGCCUUCAUUGAACUGGAUGGCAACACUACAAUAAGAAAUAAGACAUACAAUUCCACUAGACAAAACCACCAUUUGGAACAACAUAAGUUUAAAGAACCUGAAUCAAUUGCUUUUAAAAGACGUAAAGUUUCCCGGGAAAUUUUGUGCAUCAGCACUUUCUAGGGAAGGUGAAUUGAAUCUCUGAAUAUAUACUGACAAUGAAGCCAAAAUCCAAUUGAUUCGUAAGACAUAAUCACAUUUGAAGCAGAGAUGUAGCGGAACUCACACUGUGGCAUCUCCUCCAAACAUGCUGCCAGAGAUUUUUAAGUUCAUUCUUCCGAAUAGGUUUUACUAAAAAAUCAACUGCACCCUUUGACAAACAUUUAAAGACUAGGCUGAUAGAAUCAUGAGAUGACAUCACUGCAAAUUUACAGCAUGUCAAUAGUGGUGAUAAUUAUAUGCGUAAAGCCAGAAAUAAUGAUUAAAAAUUAGACCUUACCUCUCAAUUAAAACAAUUUCAAACUGCUAGUGAAUGAUACUUACUUAUCACAGGGAUGUUCUUGAAAGUUUUGUGGUUCAUAAUCUUGUAUAAAAGACCAAUUCCUGAUAAAACAGGCAUGGCUACCUCUGUCAGGACAAUAUCAACGUGGUUCGUCAGAUCUUCUAGGACUUUCCACGCUUGAAGAUCAUUUGCAACAGCCGUAACUGCCAAGACCAUAUUUUAAGGUUUUAAAUGUGCGGGAGAAAGAGUGGUUAAGCUUGACUUUCAACUUCUUAGGGCUUUUAAUGAACACGAAUGUCUAGUCAUAGACAGUGUAACUUCUCCAAUGGCCUUUCACAUAAUAAAAUAUAAAAGCACCCUAAAUUCAUUCAUUUAAGGUUCUUUUAACUGAAAUUGUAAAAGUUCCAGUGGCAUGCCCAUUGAACACCAUUUAAAGCUUGAACCAUCCCAACCCAUUUGUAUGGUGCAAAGUAAAGAAAUCUAAACCACAUUAUGCAAAUAUUCCUAAAGUUUACCUCUUCAACAAACAAUAGAUGAUUCGUUCAGAAUGAAAGUAGAAACAGCAUGAUCUUUCUACCAUACUAUUUAUUCUAUUAUCUUAAAACUCAUGGUAGGAUUACCGAUGCAAUUUUAUCUCAUCAGGAAACCAAAGCAACACCUUUAAGAGUUUAAGUCCUCAACAUUCAAUCCACCAAAUGAAAGAAACACAUAUACACACCUUCAUAACUGCAAUUCCGUAGUAAUGCACUCACAACAUGGCGUGUUGAGUCAUCAUUUUCCACAAGGAGAACUUUGAGGGACCGAAUAGGGAGGAACCUCUCCCAAAGUACCAUGGAACCUUGAGGUUGUUGUUGAGGUAUUUGCAAUCCAUCACAUGCCUCAAUUGCUCCCAAGGACCCAUUGUUUACAUUUACAGUUCUCUCAACAACCCUUGACUCAUCUUCCUCAGAUGAACCUAAACCUUGCCCCUCACUCACUACUCCGUUCCUUGCUUCUUGUUGCUCGUGACACAUACUGUUUCCCACCUAUCCUCAAAACCAUCAUCGUUCACUGAUACUGCUCCAAUCAACCAGAUUCAAAACAUCAAUUAUGGGAGGAAUGCAAACAAUUGAGUUGACCAAUAACAACAAAGAAAGUAAAAAUGUUCAAAAAGCUGAGAAAAGAAACACAGCUGACCAUACUCCAUUUAAUACAAAACGCUAAAAACCAACAAACUUUUAGAAUCUUUAUACAUCCAAAGCUAAAUUUAAAAAACUAAAUAGGCAGUCCUAGUCCUAAAAUAUUUAGUAGAUUGAAAUUGCAAACAAUCCCAGAAGAUGAAAUCAUCUUAAAUCAUCUAUACUUAAAAUUAAAACUUGCAUGCAGUAAGCUGCAGAAAAUAUAAAGUCUAAUAGCUUCUGAACAACCACUGAACUUUCAAUUCAAUCUCUAAACAAAUCAAAGACAUUUACAAGCAAACAUCAGAUCUAAAAAUAAUAAUUAAAAAAAGAAAGACUACCCUUCUUAAAUCACACUUCAAAUAACCAAAAUAUCUAACAAAAACAUUUUUAAAAAAGAUAUUAAAAAAAAUGAAUCCUUGUUUCAUUUACAGAGCAACCAAGUGAAGCCUCUAGCUUUCUCUCAUGUAUCAUCUACCUUUUCUCAGCUGCCAAACAAAGCAUUGAAUUAAACACGUCGAAAAAAAAAAAGGGUCCUAGUAGAUUUACUCAAGCAGAAAAACCCUACCAAAAAUAUCCAAAAAAAAUGAAAAGAAGAUGAAAGUUGACACCUUAAUAGCUUGUCCAUGGAACAGCAAGCAGCCAUUAGAAGCUCUCAUGCAAGAAAAACCAGUUGGCUUCUACUUUAAUCUGGUUUUUUAUCAUCAAAAACGGUUUUCAAUAUAAACCAGCUAGUGGAGUUUUCCCUUUUUUCUCAUUACAAAACUUUUUUUUCUUUUUUUUAAUAUUAAAUUUAUCAAAGAUAAAAGCUUGACUGGCAAAAGAAUAAAAAUAAAAUGGGAGAGAUAAAAAGAAAAAAAGAAAAGAGUUUUUAGACAGAGAAAUGGAAGAGCGAGAGAGAAGAUAUUAUUCUGGGGGGAGCUGCCGACGUGUAACAAAUGAAGGUGGGGAGAUGUUAAGGUGUUCACGUGGCAAGGUGGGCCUAUUCCACCAGUCGAUGUGCGAGCCUUUGAUGGAGGAUGACGUGGACAAGAUCAAAAGCUGGGAGCAUAGCGUCGAAGAGCCGAAUCUUAAAUCGAUGCUCUCAGAUCUGAAGACAGGACACGUGGCUCCCUCGACGGCCCCUUAAAAGGUCUUCGUUUUGCGUGUACAUGGGGACGGAUUGGAAGCCCUAGAUAGAAAACGAGGUCGUUUUUGGCUAGUGACGAGAAUACCCUUAGCCGAAAUUUGUUUGUCACGUGCUCAAAACCUUAUCCAUAUUUUUUUUAAUUUAUCCUUUUUAAUAUAAAAAAUAAAUUGUAAUUCUUAUCCUUUUAUUUUUUGUUUUAUCCCAUGAAUACUCCCAUUUUGGCCACAACUGAAUAUUUGGACAUUAGUGGCAAAUUUUAAGAGUUGGGGUAAUAAUAUAAAAAUUUAAUCAUGUAUUAAUGGGAUUCGAAUAUUUUUUAAAAUAAUAAAGUUCAAGGUACCUUAUAAAUAAUAAAAUUUGAGUUUAGAUAUUUCAAAAAUAAUGACUAUCUUACUCAUUGACAUUCUUAAUCAUAGUGUUGUCUCAUAAAUGUUUAAAGUUAAAAGUUUAAAAAAUUUUCAAAAUAAAUAUUUAUGGAAAAUUAUGUUAUUUUUUAUAUAAAAAAAUUGGUUAUGUUUGAAAACUUUAUAUAUAUGAAUUUAUAUUUGAUAUAUUAUUAUAAAAUAAAAUGUUGUUAUCUUAUUAAUAAAUAAAUUUAAGAACAAAAACUUUCAAACAUAAUUACUCAUGUUUUUAUAAAUAUUUAUUUUGAAAAUUUUUUAAACUUUUAACUUUAAACAUUUAUGAGACAACACUAUGAUUAAGAAUGUCAAUGAGUAAGAUAGUCAUUAUUUUUGAAAUAUCUAAACUCAAAUUUUAUUAUUUAUAAGGUACCCUGAACUUUAUUAUUUUAAAAAAUACUCGAAUCCCAUUAAUACAUGAUUAAAUUUUUAUAUUAUUACCCCAACUCUUAUUCUAUUAUCUUACAUACCACAUGUAAAUGUGUAAUUAAAAUAAGUUUAAAGUAAUUUUUAUAUAUUACUAAUGUAAAUUAAAUCAAUAAAUUAUAGUUUGUUCAUAGUAAAAAUUAAAACUUAAAAUUAUAUUUAGAAUAAUUAAUGAAUUUAAGUACAUAUUAUAUUAUUUAUAAAAAAUUAUAAAUAAAAUAUAAAAUUAAAAUUUAAUAUUAAAAAUUAUUAUUUAUAAUUGAGAUGAUAGAUAUCCUAAGACCACUACCCAAACCCCGUUAUAGAUAAUAGUUUUACUACCAAACUCAAUUAUAAUAUAUUUUAAUUUUAUUUAAUCGGGUCGAAUAGUAUAAUAUAUCCUAUUAUAACGUACUCAUUAAUAGUUCUACAUGCGAAUAAGUAAUAAUGUAUUUAAAUUAAAAAGAAUAUGGUAAGCUUUGCCCAGUUGGGCCCAAUCGAUUGAUGCCAAUGGUCCGAUCCAAUAUCAAGUUGCUCCGAACUGGCUACCCUUUAACCUUAGCCCAAUUUUCUCCAGCAAGAUUGGGCCCAUGUCGGAUUAUUCCAGACAGGUCCAGAUGGUCAGUGGGCUUACGUAUUCCUAAACGACGUCCACGCUUUUCUAUUUUCUGGGUGAUUUGCUUUUUCCAGGCAAGUUUCAGCUCUCUUUAGCUAAAAAAUGGCUGUGGCGAGAACAGUAGUGGUAAAAGCAGUGAACGCCGGUUUAUGGAGUCUGCAACGGAGUCGUUCCGGGAGUUUGCAACAGGCCCAAACUGUAAGGGCUUUAUCGACGAUCAUGUCUCCGCCUUCCAAAGCAGUCGUGUACGAGCACCACGGCCCACCCGACUCCGUUACCAGGUCCCCGAAACACCAAUUCGACUUCAUUUUUCUCUUUUUUUUUUUUUUUUAUUCCUUAUUUUGAUCUUUGCAGAGUGAUAGAGCUAUCCCCAGUAGAAGUGAAGGAGAAUCAAGUUUGCGUUAAAAUGUUAGCUGCUCCUAUCAAUCCCUCUGAUAUUAACCGUAUUGAAGGUUUGGCUUUCUUUUCCAUCUUGCCUACUUGGGUUUUACUUCAUUUGAUUAAAACCUGUUUUAUCUUUGAUUUAGUUGAAUUGGGUAGUUUAAAAUAGUAAUAGUUUUAAGUUUUUUUAGAUAAAGAAGUGAAUUUUUGGUGUGUAGGCGUAUACCCUGUGAGGCCACAGGUGCCAGCAGUUGGAGGCUAUGAGGGUGUUGGAGAAGUAUAUUCUGUUGGGUCUGCGGUUAAGGGUCUCUCGGCUGGUGAUUUGGUCAUUCCUUCCCCUCCCUCCUCAGGUUUGUUCUUUUCACCUUUUGCUAUGCCUUUGUUAACUUUACUUUGAAUGCAACUUGCUUAAAAUCAAUAAUUCUACAAGUUUUUCAGCUUAUGUAUCUUCAAUUUUUGGUGCUGAAUUUCAUAUCUCAAAUCACUUCUAUGUUGGAAUGUGAAAGCUUAAAACAGGGGGGCAUGGGUUAAGAAUGGCUGGUGUUUUUGCAAUUUAGUCUAACACAUCUAACUCUAGAGAUGUGAUUGAAUUUGUUGGAGUAAGGAGACUUAGAAAAGGGAAUUUUCUAUUUACUAAUAGUCGAAAGUUGCAAGAUGCUGCAUUUUUGCCUAUUAAUUGAUGGGAAGCUGGGAAAUUUGCGACUUUCGAUGUCCUAUCUUCAACUUAACAAAAUUGGUUGAAGUUUCUUUCGUUUUUCUCAUUUAGAUGUUUUAAAAUAAUGAAGAUAUAGUUUCUUGCAGUAUAAUAGAAAAAUUAGCUUUCAGACACAUCUUAUUCAUUCUGCUUGAGUGCUAAGGUCAACUGAAAAUUUGAUUGGCAGGAACAUGGCAAACUUAUGUUGUGAAGGACCAGGAUAUGUGGCAUAAAAUCAGUAAAGAUUCACCAAUUGAGUAUGCUGCAACAGUUACUGUUAAUCCUUUGACUGCUUUAAGAAUGCUCGAAGACUUCGUAACUUUAAACUCAGGUACUACAGCUGUUGACGUGGUAUUUGACCAUUUUCAAGCCUCUAUCUCCUGCUCUUCUUGAUUAUACUUGUAUGAGCAGGAGAUUCCAUUGUCCAAAAUGGGGCUACAAGCAUCGUUGGACAAUGUGUAAUCCAGCUUGCAAGAUUUCGUGGCAUCCAUAGCAUUAACAUUAUCCGGGACAGGUGCGGUAUGAGACUUUAGCUUCUUGUUGACAUGAGCUUGUCAUCACAUUUAUUUAUUUAUUUAUUUUUAACUUAGAUGGUGUCAUCAGUUUGUGGUAUUUAGUUAAGGAGGAAGUUGACUGUCAUUGACUGCACAGAUUUUGUGUUAAAUGGUUUCAUUGAUUGUAUUUUUUUAUCCAUUAGUGUUCUGUAAUUUGAUGCGUGCAAUUUUUUCCAGCGCAUCUUUAUUUACCAUCCUCUGCUUGCUUUAGGGCUGGGUCGGAAGAAGUAAAAGAAAGAUUAAAAGCUUUCGGUGCUGAUGAAGUGUUUACUGAGAGCCAACUAGAAGUGAAGAAUGUCAAGGGCCUUCUGGUAUCAUCAUUUAUGGACACACUACUGUUGAUUGUAGGGAGAUAUUUGUUCUUCCACAUAUGUAUUCAUUUUUCUUUUGUUAUUUUUAUUAGUUGUAUUUUUUGGUUGUUCGCUCAUCUUUUCUGUUUUACUUGUAAUUGACAUGCUAGUCAAAUAUACCUGAACCUACUCUGGGAUUCAACUGUGUUGGGGGAAACGCUGCUUCUUUGGUUCUCAAGUUCUUAAGGUCUGGCAACAUGAGGACCUUGUGUAUUUCCUUUUAGUAAAAAUCAAACUACCCUUGGAAUGCUAACUAAUUUGUCAUUUCAGGCAGGGAGGAACCAUGGUAACAUAUGGUGGAAUGUCCAAGAAGCCUAUCACUGUAUCAACAUCAUCGUUCAUAUUCAAGGUAAACCAGGGCUUACCUGUCUUCUUUCGUAUUGCAGCUUAGUGAUGUGCUGCUGUUCGUCCAAGUAUUACAUAAUUUCACGUAGAAUAAAAGUAGCUUCUGAAUUUAGAAAGUAUUUGUGUUCUCCUAUAUCUUUGCAGGACCUUUCCUUGAGAGGAUUCUGGCUACAGAAAUGGUUAAGUGCAGAUAAAGCGAAAGAAUGCAGAGAUAUGGUAGAUUACCUUCUGUGCCUGGCACAGGAGGGGAAGUUGAAAUACAAGUAUGUUUUCGUAGAUGAUCUCACUUUCCAUCAGUUAUUCAAUUCUCAUGUACGUAAACCAUUCUGCUCUUCCUUGCAGGAUGGAGUUGGUUCCGUUUGACAAUUUUCACACUGCAUUGGACAAGGCGCUCGGGAAACUCGGGAGUCAGCCAAAACAAGUGAUCAAAUUCUAAUCUCGCAUCAUCCUUCAUCGAUUUUGAAUGUUGUAGUGUAGUUAUGGAGGCCAUCCCAUACUCUUGGAUUUUCAUGUCCCAUGAUUUAGAUAUUUCUUUAAAUGGCUUUCCAUUUACAAUCAGCAAGAGGUCUGAACGACUGAAAGUUGAGAUGCAACAAAAGCUGGGAAAAAUCUGUAAAUGCCUUAAGCAGCCGUACAUUUUUAAUGACAAUAAUAGAAAAAAUUAAGAUUAUGACUGUGUUUGGACAUCACAAGAUCUGAUUCUUACUUCCCACAUCCCUGCUGCACACAAUACACGUCUUUGAAUUGGAGAAGUAAAAUGUAGAAAAAAAAUCAAAACCAAUUCUCUUAAACAGCAUAUAUCAGGUUUGAGUCCGAUUAAGAUAUUGAAUCUAAAGGAGGGAAGAACUUGAAUGGGUGAAUGUAUCUAAUCCUUCUGGUUCAGCUGCUAAUUUAUGGUUCGUAUGACUCAUUUCUCAGAAUGAAGUUCACAGCGUCUUCCACAGUGUCAACAACCUGCAAUUGGAAACAGCAAAGAGUUUUACAAUGGCGCUUAAUUUCUAGGAUUGAAACCAAAGAUAUAAUUUGGCCACACAAGUACCAGAAAGACCCUUGUGAAUUACUUCAAACAACUUAAGGUUCUUAUAGAGUUGGUGUGGUAAUGAUGCAUUAUUGAGUUUGAGUUUAAGUUUCAAGUGCCUACCAGAUUGGCUGGAAAUUCCACAUGGUUAGAUUGACGAUCUCCCUUAAAAACCCCGGUCCUCGUCAAGAUGGGAAACCAAGGGUGCCCGGCCUGGAAUGUGAACCAUGAAAGCACAUUGUAUUAUCUCUCACCAUUAACAGUGUUAAACGAUAGAGAUUUACAAAAAUAUGCAGUUACAACCGGUCCAAGAGAGACAAACCUGCAUUGAACCUUUGAUGUCAACAAAAGGAUUAUCUCCUAUCAUAUAUAGUGUUCUGAAAUCGUGACUUCCAGAGUGUGCAUGGUCAUGAUAAAGGGAUGAGGCUAGCAGCUUUAGCACAACUUCAGCAUUCUUAAAUGCAACUGGAUUUGGCUUUCCUAAGGAUGUAUACCUCAGGGCUUCGGAAUGAAUGCUGCAAGUUUAAUGUAGUGGCAUUAACGAAAGCCAUCUCAGGGAACAUAAGCUGCCACCAAAUAGUAAGGCGUAAUGACAGAGUGAUAUAGUGCUUCUUGAAUUAUAGGCAUUCCUAGAGGGGUCUAAAAUAUAGGCUAUGGCGAAAUAAUCAUUUUCAGAAAAAUUUAAGAGGAAAGCAUAGUAAUCAUCUAAUCCUAACCUCAGAGUAGAAUCCUCUUUCCAUAUACCUUCUUUCCUCACCUAUUGAAGAUCGAUUCCAAUGCAAUUCUGAAAGCUCCCAUGCCAAAACGCUCAGAAGGAAAAGCACCCUACCUUUACUGGUAUAUUAUCAGUACAUUACUACUAGUAGAGAAAAGGAUCCAAAAAAAAUGAAGAAAAGCAACUGAUUUUAGAAAAUAAAUCAUAACUAACCUGGUAUUUAAGGUCAUCAUGUGCAAAAUACAGAGGUGGUUGAGGUCCUUCUUCACUUCCAGGAAGACCUCCAGUUCUUAAAAUAUCACAAAGAACCUAACAUUAAAGAGAUUCUAAUGCUAUAAUUAGUCAAUCUAGAGGAGGUCCUCUCAAUGACUGAACAUGACAGAAUUUGAUAUGAUUAAAUAAUUAAAUUGUUGAUGACAACCUGAAUGUCCCUGCUCCAGUCAACUGAAUCACUAACAAUAAACGCUGCCUGAACUCUCUGUGACUUAAUGCUGCAUUUUCUAGUGCUGUUGACAGCAGCCUCCAUGGUGUUCCAUUUCUUGUAUGGUGCCAGCGGAUCAAUGCUUUCGAAGCAUAGUGCAUACUCAUCUAUCGGAAUCACAUUCCUGCAUAUAAAUUCAAAUGACACGAGCCAUUAGGAAUUUCUACCCAAAUCAGCUGUGAAAAACAUCUGGACUAACAAAUCAGGAAGCACACUCAAAAGCUUACUUAAAUCCAUAUUCGGACAUCACUGCAGCAGGUUCACCUUUUCCCACAGCAACAAUUAGUUCAUUCUCAAACCUGUAUGACAACAAGAAGAAGAUAUAAUUAGUGAAAAUUAUGAGACAAAUAGAUUCCAUAAUUGAAAAGCAUAAUGCUUGACUCUUGAUUGGACCUUUCCUUUCUUUAUCAAAAAAUAAAUAAACACUGAUUGAUAGAUAAUGGGUUUUCUCCAAGUUAACAAUUGUCUCCACGAAAAGUACACUAAGACACAAGUCCUAGAAGCCUUUACAACAAGUACAUGCAGUGCCGUACUUGCUAAAACACUUUGGAGCACGUUCACAGGCCUUGGUAAAUUAAAUCAUACCUGUUCACCAGCUGUUUAAAAGGUGAAUGACCCUGCACAACCUAGAAUGAGUAAACAGGCAAAACGGAUUUCAUUAGCCAUUACUACCAUCAUCCACAAAGCUUUCUCUAAAGUAAAAUGUAAUGGAUUUGAAUAAAAUCGAAAAAAGAUAACCAUUUUCAUAGGAAAAUACCUGUGAAGGAGAAAUCUCUACACCAAGGAGCUCUGACAAUUCCACGGCUCUCUUUGAUUCACGAACACCACCUCCUGCCAAAGAUGUCAAAGAUUGGAAGUUGGAACCAACAAUGCUUAAUUGACUACACUACAUCAAUCAUUAAACCAAAAAUCAGAAAUUAAAAACUAUGUCCAUCUUGUGCCUAAAGGCUACCUAGUUAACAGCCAUAACACACACAAAACAAUCUUUCACUUAAGUGCUUGGUCAGUAGCAAUGUAAACUUAAAAUACAACAGCCAGGAAGGAACCAAGAAAAAGUAAACAAAUUAUGAUCGAUGAAAGAGCUUUAAUGGCAUGGUAACUAACAUAGAGGAUUCACUCACUCACCAUUUGUCAAGAAAAUAAAAGGAAUCUUCAGGACACCUGCCCAACAAAAUGAACUAAUCAGAGUCUAAUGUUCUAGCACAGACAAGAAUUAACGAUCAAACACAAGAAAUUAAUAAUAAAGGUUUCAAAAUUAAUUUAUAACAUACGUAUAUAAGUACGUAUGCAUACCGGAGUCAUCGUAUAAUCUCCGGAGAGCUCGCGGAGCGCCGCCGAUGGGAGUGUUGCCGCGUAAGACGACGCCGUCUAUAUCAAACGCAAUGCCGAAAGAAGGCCUGCUUGUAUCCGUAAAAAGAAACAAUCAACGGCUCGAAAUAGAAACUAGUUAUCGGGAAAAAUUCCAAAAGACAAACGAGAAAAUGGAAACGCACGGCGUCGAUUGCUGCAAAGAAAGUUGAGAGAUAGUGGAGAACAGCCGCGACAAUUGCUUUCUCGAUCGAGUCUGCGAUGAUUUUCUCAACAUUUGAAGAGCAAUCAUCUUCUUCUUCUCUCUCUCUCUCUCUCUCUCUCUCUCUCUCUUUGAAAUUUUGGCCGCUCACUUCUGCUGAAGAAUAGCGAGCGAAACAGUAAAAGAAGAACAACGAAAGAAGAAUUGCGAGCUUCUGCUUUCCUUUCCAAUCAGAUCGUGCCACGUGGGUUAAUGUCUUUUUUAUAUAUUUUUCUUAGCUUUUUUUUUGGGAGAACAAUAUUUUCAUUGAUUUUACGUGUUAUAAAAAUUAAUUAAAACAAUAAAUUUACAUUAAAAAUAUGCAAUAAUUAUUUUUAUUUUGUAUAAAAUCAAGUAUUCCAUAUCACUUUAUAUAUUUAUAAUUUCUUAUCGCUUCAAAUAAUUUAUUAUUUUCGUAAAAAAAUUCUAUAAAACAAAAUUUUCACUAAAAAUCGAAUCAUAAAUACAUUUCAUACACAAAACGAUAUCUAUUGGAUGCUUUUUCAUUUUUAUAAAUUCAUCUCACAUCGAACAUUUCAUUAUUAUCAUGACAAACGUAUCGAAAUAGAAAAAUUUUCUCUAAAAAUGUAAAAUACAUAUUUUUCUUUCACACCAAAGCUAUUAAAAUACAAAGUUUACAUGAAAAACAUAAAGAUAAAUGCUUUUUUUUUUUGGUACAAAAUUAUUUGUCACUGUGCUCCCAUGAAUUGUUUGCAUGAAAAUUGAAAACAAAGUCUAUAUAUUGCUACCCUUUGUUUUGUUAUUGUUUCUCUUGUAAAAUAAACUGGAUGUAAAAAAUAUACAGACAUAUCCCAUACACAACAAGAGGCCAAGAGACCCUAGCCAUCUUUUAUACAGACAUAUCACCCUUAAGAUGAUUGGAUUCCUAAAUAUAAUAUGAAUCCAUUAACUCCCAAAUAAACCCAAGAAACAAACACCCAUUCUACCAUCUCAAAUCUCAAUACCUCCAGGGAGAACCUAUCUCCCUGAUUUUUUUUCUGCUAGAACACAAGUCAUCUUGAAUUUAUACAUAAGCAAGCUUUUUCACCAAAACCAACCUACUUUACUGAAGCAAAACAGCAUAAAACAAAAUCGGGAGAUGCUUGUUAGCGACUUCAUUCGAGCAUCUUAUCUUGAUUGAAGUUCAAAGACUCCCUCCAUAUGAGCUCUUUUAUGUCUUCUUCGUUCAAGGUCGUCUGCUCGAAAUCAAAGAUGAAAGGAGAUGGACAAGUGGGCUCCUCGUUGAUCUCAUGAAGACUUGAUAAAAAUGGGUGAUUCAGUGCUUGGUCAACUGUAUAUGCAACAUAUCAAAAGACAGAUGUUUCUUGUCAGAAAAAUAAAUGAGGAACAAGAAACAAGUACAUUGUUGAAGUGGCAUACUAAGGCAUACCAGUGAUGCGCUUGCUUGGAUCAAAAACCAGCAUUUUCUCUGCAAGAUCAAUUGCCACAGGAGACACAUCUGGAAACUUUUCUGCAAAAGGCCGCUUUGGGAAUCGAGGAAGCUGCCUAACAUACUUUCGAGCAUUGUCACUCCUAAGGAAUCCAAGAUCUGAAUCUUCCGGUGAUCCUAGUAGCUGUUUUAUGAAAAAAUUUAAAAAAAGAAAAAGAAAAAUAUUAAUAUAUAUAUAUAUAUAUACACAGGUAUUACUAUCAUGUAUUCAGUGUCCAAAAAAAAUUUGCAACCUGCUUCAUGCUUUUCUUCACCGAGUGCCUAAAAAUGGCUGUUAUUUUGUAAACUACAACUACGCUAUAUUAAGUGCUCUUCCAGGAAACCAAAGUAUUGGGUUUGGGAGUGAACAAGUCAAGAGCGAUGGAUACCUCAGUAAUAAGCCCCAACUGCUGAACAUAGUCUUUACCAGGAAAAAGUGGCUCCCUUCUAAUUAUCUCCAUCAAAAUACAACCAACUGACCAUAUAUCAAUAGCUGCAGUAUACUCUGAACAGUUGAGGAGCAACUCAGGGGCCCGAUACCACCUGGUUACAACGUACUCUGUCAUGAAGUCUGUCUCUGAGGUGGUUCUUGCAAGACCAAAGUCACAAAUUUUAAGAUCACAGUUUGCAUUGAGAAGCAGGUUGCUAGGUUUUAGGUCUCGGUGCAAAACAUUUGCUGAGUGUAUGUACUUCAGGCCCCGCAACAGUUGAUAUAGGAAAUACUGCAAAAACCACAAUAUUGCUUCAACAGUUGUGAAAUUAUAGCCUGAUUUAAACUAGCGCACAACUAUACAAUUGUAAUUAAGACUCAAAUAGUCAGACAUAAGCUCAUAUUUUAAAACUUGCAUUGAUGCUGCAGCAUGACAUAACACAAUUAUAAACAAUUGAACAUGACAUAUCACAUGACACUGGUAACAUCACGAACUACAACAUUGUUAUACAAUAAUAAUGAUAUAAGCAUAUAACCCACCUGAUAGUGAUCAUCAGUGAGAGGCUGGCUAGACCGUAUUAUUUGAUUGAGAUCAGUGUCCAUUAGCUCAUAUGCAAUGUACACAUCAUUGAACUUUUCCCUCUCCGGUGGCAGUAUGAUGUCCUUGAUUUUGACAAUCUGCAAAAUAUUAAUGCAACACUUCAUCUCUCUUCCAUGGUAUACCACGAUGAUAACAAAUAAAAGCGAACAAUGUAUUAAUAAAAACAAACAAAAUUUAGAAUUUAAUGAGUACAUUAUCAUGAUCCAUGUGACAAAGGAGCUUGAUCUCACGGAGUGUUCUUUUAGCAUCAAUCCUGUUCUCAAAUGCAUUUGCAAUUCUUUUAAUCGCAACCUCUUCAUUUGUCUCGGAAUUCCUGGCACAACUGCAGUAAGGAAAGCAACAAUUCUCUCAAUCGCAAAAUUCAAAAACAUUGACCCCAAAAUAUUGAAUUAAAACUUUCAUCUCUCAGUCUCUCACAUGAAAGCAAAUACGGCUGUCUGCAUAUAAUAUUCAAAUGACUUGAUCUAAGUAAAUAAACCAUAAACAAUGAAAAUCUGUUUUCUGUUUUUCCCUAAAGUGUGCAUUUUUUUAAUGGGUAGGAGACACCUAUACUAGUAAUUCAAUUGCCUGAGUAAAUAUUAUAACUUGUUGAAACAUCAAACUCGAACAAACCCAAAGCUCAUUGCUAAUUAUAUUCGUUAAUUUCUCUAAAAGGGUCACUAAAAAUUCUCUUUUUAUACCACUUUAAGUAGCUCUGUCUAAUCACUAAAAUCCCAAAAAUAAAACCACAAAAUUCAACCAAUUUAAUGAAUCUACAGCUUUAUUUUUAAGGGAAAUAAAACGUAUUUUUUGCUUCCAAAAUAGAAGAAAAAAGCAGAAGAUUACCAAACGAUGCCAUAAGCGCCACGACCAAUAGGCUGAAUAGGAGGGACGUACUUAGAAGAAACCUCAAAGAUGAUACCUAAUACGUCGUAACGGACAUAUCUGCCACCAUAUGUUGGGAUUCCUCUGCUAUCGACCGCCAUUGCUUCGUUCUCCAUCUUCUUCUUUUUUUCACUUCCCUCAAAAACAAGCUCAAAGAAAAGCAAAUGAAGAAAGGAACAAAAGGGCGUGCUUUUAUGGGAGAAGAAAAGUAAGAGAAAGCGAAGAGAAGGGCCAUUUGUGGUUUUUGCUUUUUGAUUGGGGUUGCUUUGGGUGGUUUUUGAAACUUUGAAUUUGAACGUGGAAAAAGGAUAAAAAAGUGAAAUUUGUCUAAUGAAACAGGGAGGAAUGGACUGUUGACCUUGAAAGGCCUUUGGAAUUGGAGUGGACGAAGACUUUACCUUUCAUCGCCUUCUACGUCAGAGUUGAGAAGUUUCUUUGAUAUUUAGGUGAUGUCUUUUUAUUUGUAUAUAGAUAAUUUUGAUGAUUGAUUGGACUUGGUUCUGUUUGGUUGCAAGGAAAAUAGCCUGGAAAAAAUGUAGCUCUCAUAGAAAAGUGGUGAAAAUAAAAAUCCAUUUAUUUAUUUUAAAUAUACUUUUUGGCUCAUAUUUCUUCAUAUCUUGGAUUUUUUUUUUUUAAACAUCAUUAAGAUUGCAACUCUUGUAUUUUCCCUCUUUAAAUUUAGUACAAAUGGUAAUAGAGAGGAUAUUUCAAUAUAUUUUGAAAAUUUUGUAAGUGUGAACGCCUACAUACACACAGUUAAUUGAUGAUUUAAUAAUAAUUUCGUGAUAAAAUAAUAUUAUAAUAAAUCAAUCUAUACUUAACUCACACCAAGCCUUUUUGCAAAGAGAUAGGCAAGUUAAGUUGGUCGAUGGCAAUAGGAGUAAGAUCAAAUUAAGUGAAGGAGAAUGUUACUAUUAGCAUUUUUAGAGAAGGAGAAGCAAGAUGGUCAACCACAACGAUGAUUUUGUUGGAUUAAGUGAAAAUGAAUGUCAUUAUAAGUACUUCAAAGGAAGUAUACAACAGGCUUCAAUCUUACAUCAGGCACGUAAAGGGAUAUUGAAACAUUUAUAAGCAUGCAUAUCUUAUAAAGCUAAUGAAAAAAAGAUAACAAACUCGUGACAUAAAAUUAAUUUUAUGUUAUAUUAUAUUUUUUAUUUUAUUUUUUUAAAUGUACUAAAUUUUAGUAUAAUAUUUUUUAAUUUCAUUAUAAUAAAUACUAUUAAAUUGUACCAUACUCAAUAAAAAUAAUUUUAAAUUUUAAUAACUUUUGUCAUUCAAAACUAAGUUUUUCAUUUGUACUGUAAAAAAAAAGGAAAUUGUAAAAAAACUCCCUCCCUUGUACAUUUCAUUUCUCCUUUAAAGGCCUGUUUCGGGCAAAUUUUGGGGGUCCAGUGCGGUGGGACCACCCUCCCACCUCACCGGCUCGCCCUCCCAAACACGCCAGUGGACCUUUCCAUCCAAAUUUUGGAUUCAAAAAAAUAUAAUGAGCCCACACUAUCAUUAGGUGGGCCACAAAAAGUUUUCUUAUACCAGAUGUUACAACUAUUUGGGCUUCAAAUAAAUGAGCAAAAAUUGGGUUUAGGUUGGGCUUCAGAGAAAAAAAAUUUAGAGUUUAGACUUUCUCUAACGUUGAUUUGAAAAUUUUGUACAAAACAUAGAUUUUAAGUAUGUUUGAGUUUAGGUUAAUCGGGUUUUGUAUAUUAAGUAUGAAGAUAUGAAUAAAUCAUAUUUUAAUUGUGUCAAACUAGCUUAACUUGUCUGCGACACAAUUAGUUAAUCGUGUUAUCGUAUAUCUAUAUAGCACAUAAUCUGUUUAUUAUUUAGUUAUUUAAUUAUGUUCAUGCGUCGUGAAGAUACGUUUAGUAUACGGUUAUGACCCAUUUAUUGAUUUAUAUAAAUACUAAUAGUUUUAUAAUGAUUAAAAUUUAUUGAUAUUAAACUUUAUUAUAUUUAAUAAAUAUUAUGAUAUAUAGUUUUUGUUUGUAAAUUUGAAUAAUAAAAUUAUAUUUUACUUGUACAUAUUUUAAUUUAAUCAUUUUAAUCAUUUUAAUCAUAAUAAUUAUGUUAAUCAUGUAAUCGUGUUAUAAAUUGUAUAAAUUUUAAUCAUAUCAUGUCACAUAAAACUUAACUCUAAAAGUUUGAUAAACAUAUUUAUCUAUACAAUUAAAACAAGGAAACACGAAAAUUGUAAAGUCUAACUUAAUGUGCCAUGGAACCUGAUAUAUUAGAUAUGAUUGUAUAAUUCAUGUGUUUAGGAGGUUACGAAAUUGAAGAGAUGUUGAAGAGAAGAAAAGGUCAUCGCAUUUCAUAUUUCAAACUUGUCAACGUGAUUAUAACAGUUGACUGAAACUUUAAAUUUAAUCAGUGAGGUUACGGCACUGAUUAAUAUUAAUAUAAUAUUAAUAGAUUAUACCUCGUUCAUUUUUAUACAAUUCUCGAUUUCUUUUCUCGUAACAAAAUUAUGGAACAAUUUUCUUAAGAAAACCUAAGCAGUUGAAAUCAUGUGCUUAUGACUUUUCGAAUUUGGUUGACUUUGACAUGGGUUUCUUCUAAUUUUGCUGUCAAUGACUCAUAUACUGAAAUUAAAAAAAAAAAAAAGUCUUUAAUCAAUUAACCCAAGGAAUGAAUAAAGUCUUUUAACAAAUAAAUUAAGUUAUCACUUUUUGCUUAGUGAGAAAGCAACAUUAACUUCUAGAAAAAUGAGUUUCGGUUAUUAACACAUACAUCCCACCAUGAUUUUAAAUAAAUAAUAAAAAUUUUUUUUUUAAGGUAUCUAGAAGCAUGACAAUAUCUCAAAUGCACAUGUGGGAAAAUAAUCUUAUAAGUUUCUAGAAGGAACCUGUUUCCACCCCUUGGACACCCUCAUAUAAAACUUGGGAAUUUUGUCUUUACUUAGAUAAUUAAUUACGUAAUUAAAUUAGCUGUAUAGAUUGUUAUUCUUUGGAGGGAAUGAGCUAUAUGGGGGAGGGGAUGAGCUGUAUGGGACAUGAGAUAAUUAGGUCAACCUCAGUCCUUGACCAAAACAGAAGCAAAUUUUAUCUAAAUUUCAAGAAUUUCCUUUUUGAUUUUUCCCCAAAAAAUAUCUUUUUAUUACUUUUGGAGACUUUUCUUGGUUAUGAAAUAGGCUAAGUUAGUUUGGCCAAGGGUGCAACCAGAUGACUUAGCCAGUUCUUGACUCUAUGGUCAUGGCUAACAAUUUGUAUUCAAAUUCAUUGCACCGUUUUGCUUGACUGAGUAACAUCACCUUGAAGAUCAGUCCUAAUCUUCAAAGAAUUAUGAAAGUUACAUACUCUGAAAAAGCAGCUGUGGAAAAGGUACAAAUUGAAUAUGCAAUUCCAUGUAAACUUCCAUUGCCAUGUUUGAUCUUCAAGGAUGAAGGAUCUUGUCAUCUGGGGUGGGCAGGAUGACUUGUUCCUAACCCAUUGAACAACCAGGUUCACUGCAAUCAAGUACUAAGAAACAAUCAAAGUUUUUCUUAUUCUUAAAAGAUUUUCCAAGAGUGAAAGAAACUAGGGACAGCUUCAUCCAUGUGUUCAAGUUCUGAGAAUGCAAGAUUUAGGUAUCAAAGCAUAAGCAACGAAAAAGGUUUAAUCAUCUUUGUUUUUGCUUUAUGCAAAUGCAUGGAAUAUAUGUAAAGAUCAGAAGGGGGAAAGAAACAGUUUAAAUCUCACUAUAAUCUCAUCUUAUUUGAGAUUACAAAGUACAAAAGAUUUUGUGUCUGGAUGAAAUGAAUCAGGUGAAGAUUUUGUGUUUAAUUAAUCUCAUUUAAGAAGCAACAAUAACAGUUGUAGAAAGAUGACCAAAUCAUGAAUGUCAGCAAAUGAGCUAAUGCAUACCAAAGCUCAGAGGGUGUGUGGCGUUUGAUUGGAAAAAUAAGACCAAAGACAGCUUGGUUUCACACUUUAUUUUCUUAUAAUAAUGUUAGAUGUUGGUCAAAAUUUUCCUAAAUUCAAAACCUUUUAUCCUUUAAACCUUGUUUGUUUGUUCUUUUGGGUGAAAUAACUGUGCCAGCCAUUGGAUCAUAGCUAGCUCUACCACCACAAGUUGCAGAUAGAUCCAAUGAGACUGAAAUCAGAAGCAGCACUUCCUCCCUCAAACAGAAAAAUGGGUAAUCUGGGUUUAGUUCCAAUCAAAGUUUUUUGCAGACAAAACAACCAUAUCUGCAUGAGAGUUGAUAGCUUGGCAAGAUCAAAUGAAAAGGUGAUCCUUGGUCUUGCCUCUAAAUUAAGCUUAGAAAAAUUAGAAAAAGUAAGGUAAGCCCCGUUGAUUGCGUAAAUUAAUCAAAAACAUUUUAAAUAAGAAUGAUCCAUCAUCGUUAUCUUGUUAGUAUAUUUUUAUAUGAUUCGUAUGUUAUCAAAUCAAUAGUCCGAAAUACUUCAACCAUGACAGCAAACAUAGUAACAAAUUUACCCAAGUAGGUAGAUUUGCACAUUGAAAAGUUUGAUCUCAAUACAUUUUCGCUGCCAACUUUUUGAAAAGGAAAAUUUGGGACUAUACCUGAGAGGUAGUCACUUUAGGAGAAAUCAAUGAUAAGGUAAAAGCUGUUUUGGACUGAUAUGGGGAAGGCAUUAUCAGAUACAACGCUUAGCUGUUAAUAUGCAUUCAAAGUGAACAUGUAAACCACCAAAGAAAGAGUCAAACUCACUCUUUCAAGACAUAUUCCACCCCCCUCAAAGUGUUAGUCCAACAUUCAUACUUGACAAUCUUGUUAAACCUGAAUUAUAUGAUUUCUGUUCCUUUUCACGUGUGCUUAGCAGUCAUGCUGCUUUCCAGAGAAGAAUACGGCGACUUUGAAGUUUAACCUUGUCGGUUUUUCAGUUCGAACUUACCUCAACCACUCGUGGAGAGCCAGGUGGUGGGGGUUGGAAAUUCAAGCUAUCCAGUCAAAAUUUGAGACAGAGAGAGCAAAAGCAGAGCAAACAUAACGACAUGUCUCAUUCAAAAGAUGGUCCAACAGAUUAUAAAAAAGAAAAUGGCAAAAUCGUUUCUUUUCUCUGAUCAUCUUUGGGUACAAAGUUUGAGAUUCAAUGACAAAUAUAUUCCUUGCCCUUGUGAGCAGAAGCUUAAACUUCUUUUGAGCAAUGGAAAUUGACGGGGCUGGUGGUAGUUACACCAGACAGCAGAAUCAGUGAAUCACCAAUGGUUUAUUAUUGAUGCCCAAGAUGUGGAAAAAGGAAAUUAAAGGAGAGGAAGUUCGUAUAAGAAUAUAUACAUAAAUUUUAUUGGACAAAAUCGGUUAUCUAGUAUGCUACAUAUAUCAAAAAUGAUACAGGGUCUGUAUAUCAAAUCUACAAUCUUUUGCAUAAGAAAGAACAAAAAGAAAAAGGGAAAAGAAGGCAAAAUUAUAAGGCCACCAGUAAUUACAUUAGACCCUGUACAAAAGAUAUGGGAGUUAUUAUCAGCAAUUCAAUUUAAUGAUCAAUCUGAAUUGUAGCUAGUUGGGGUUGGAGCAGCCGGAGUGGAGUUUGAGCUGACGUCUGGACCACUUUCUUCCCUCUUCCUGGGCAUUGCCUUGGCCAUCGAUGCGAUUGAAGAAACUGAUUUGAGGAAACUCUUGAAGAUUCUGAUCUUAACUUGGCCUCUCCUUGGAGGGAGGGUUUGCUUUUGCUUCUUGGUGUUGCUGGAAGCAUUGAAUUCCAUUUCGUUCAAGUGGGUAUGAAGGUAUAGAUUCGGGUUGCAAACAGAGAGAAAACAGAGGAACUCAACAAGAGCAAAACAGAGAGAAAACAGAGGAAUAUAAAGGAGCUGUUGAAUCCCUCUGCUUCUUGCAAGGCCAAAAAAAAAAAAGAAGGGUUUUCUUCCUUUUUGUUUCUGAGCAGGAAAAUAGAAAUGAGAGAAAGUUUGAGAAUUGGAGAGUGUUGAGAGGUGAGAGAAGAUUGAGUGAAGCAGGAUUUUUGGAGUGCAGCUCAGGGAUUUUUGAAGAGAGCAAAGACCUGUUUGUGGGGAUCAGACUCUGUUAUUUCUUGGUGACCAAGUUUUCGAGGUUUGCUGAGUUGUACAUUGAAUAGAUUGUCUUGGGGGGGUUGGGACCGGGGGGUGGGGGGUGGAGUGAAUCAGGUGCUCAUAAGACCACUACAUAAGGAGAGCAUACCAUUCCAAUUCAAGCAUGAGAUUAUGAGAAAAAUAAUUAAAUCCCAAGUCAACAAUUAUUAAAUACUUGGAGCCAUACAUCUAGGAGUAUCACAAAACUUAUCAAUAGGCACUUUGCCAUUUUAAUCCUGUUUUUCUCCCACCAGUUAUUCUCCCUGGACAAUGUUUGACCAAUAUUACCUAAUCACCUAGAACAGAAGACUAGAGAAAACAAGUUUUUGUAACUCAUUGGCACUUUGUGCCAGUUUUUCAUCAUAGGAAGCUUCUUUUUGGAGUUAUUUUUUACCCUUUUUCACUAUCUUCUAUCUAAGUUAUUUGAUAAGUUUCACUUGAACCAAAUUUCAAAUCAAAUUUUCUAUGACUAAAAGAGAUUUGGAAAAAUGGGUCAUUAACAGGUUUCGCAAUUAGAUUAUGGAAGGGUCUAUACAAAGCAAUUUUGUACCCCAAAAAAUUAAGAUUCAUACAAGCAGUCAUCAAAAUAUGAACAGAAAUAUGGACUCUUCAACGGGAUGCAGUUCCAUUCACUCUGCAGAAACUAAACACAUAUAAUAAAUGAUGUUACUGUGUGAAUUGCUGUAUGAAAUUCCCAAGAACCAAAAGAAAUAUGAAAGGAAUUCUUGAGUCUGCAUAGAUAUUCCAAGAGUCAAGUAUGUGGAAGUGGAUUGCAGUUGCAGUAGACCUCUGCUUUUUGACCAAGCUUGCUAUAAGGAACCAUGGUUCUGACUUCUUAAUGUUGCAGGCCAAAGAAGAGGAAAAUGGACAAGGAGAUGCAAGAUUGCAGGAAAAAAGAAAUCACUCAGAACAAAAAUUCCAAUUGAAUUUACAGUAAAUGAUGGGUAAUCCUGCAAAUCAAAGUCCCAAAGCAAGCUCCUUUGAACAACUGGAUUAUGCCAUUAUGGUUUUCUCUCAAACACACAAAAAAAAAAAAAAAAAAAAGUUCUGAGAUCACCCCACUGGUUCUGGUCCUGUCAUGACAAAUGGGGUAGUAGUAUGACCCACAUGCUCCCUUCAUGGGCUGCCUCCUUGCCCUAAUUUCUAACUAUUUGGUAAUAAAUAAACGUCUACAUAAACAAGAUCCUCAUGGGGUUGCAAAAAUUCUUCUGUUAGAGGGUUAAAAAUUUCUUUGGUUCAUGAUAAAGUGAAGAAAAAGAUCAAAACACUUAAAGAGUCUCUUAAAUCUUGUUUGAAUGCUCAAAAAUAAUUUAAAUUAAAUCACUAUGAGUAUAAUAUCUUACUAGUAAGUUCCAAUUUCACUUUAUUUAUUUAGAAUCCUGAAAUUCUAAAAACUAAUUUUUCAAAGUUUUUUUUAAUUUCCCGAAUAACUCUAGUUCGUUUUUAUUGUAUAAAUUAUUAAAUUAAUAAAAACUCAUUUUGAAGCUUAAAAAAAAACCAAAUUUAAUCUCCCAAUCCUGAGCAACACUGCAAAUAGUCAACUACCUUCAUACUCCACAACGUGUGGGGACAAUAAAAUUGACAAAUCUAUUGAAGAAUUAGGCAAAGAUCUAAAGUUGACACAAAGCUUUCAAGAUAGCAUUGAUUAGUUCCAAUAAAUUUUUCAAUGAGGAUACUCUUUCCAUUCCAAGUGAAACAAUCCCAAUUUUUUUUUUCUCAUACAUGAAAUCAUCUCGAUUCAUGAUGAUUUUGAUGAAAUUCUUAUGGGUUUCUACUACUAAGAAAAUUCUACUCUGUAAACUAUUAUGUCCCUCCACCAUCUUAGUCUAACUAACUAAUUUUCGUUUCAAGUACAUAUUUUUUUUUAACGUAAGUUUUACUUAUAUCUCUCCUUAUUUCAAUUUUUCUCAGGUGUCAUGAUGGUUCUGUUUUCUCAAUUUGCAAAUUCUGAAUGGCUUUUUCUUUGUUUUCAAUUCUAUAGAUAGCUUCUAUUAUGGUUAAGACUUAGGUUAUUAAUUUUACUUGAUAAAAUUAUAAAAUCACCUUUAAAUGUAUUGAAUUGAUAGUAUUUUGAUCAUCUUAUUAGAUAAAAUUAACACUUUUAUCUUAUUUUCUUACGUGAUAUCAUGUGAAAAAAAAUUAAAAUUAUAAAGGGUAUAAGUAAAAUUUAUCUUAUUUUCUUUUAGAUUUCAUUUAGUUAAAGUAUAUCCAGAGUCUUUGGAAAGGAUAGUGAGUAGUAAUUAAGAAUGUUACUUGCGGAAGAAAGCUGGCCACAGACCACAGUGGUAGGCCAUGGAGUUGCCUGAUGGUAGUAAUUUUCUCAUCGAUUGCUUUCACAAGCAAAAGCGGUGGUGCGGGCACAUAGAUGUUGAAAUUUUAACACAACACUAAUCCUAUCCCAAAUUUGAAAGUACAUAUCAAAAUAAAUAGUAAUGGCUAACAUUGUGACUUAUUUUAGAUCUCUUUUUUCGAAACGCGUUUUCGCUUUUCAAGUAUUUAACGUCAAAAAAAUCAUUUAAAGCAAAAUAAUUACGACAUAUAUAUAUAUAUACAUAAUAAUUAUUAUUAUUAUUAUGUUUUUAGGUAUUCAAUUCUUCUUGUACAAUCGUUAAUAAAAUAAAUUAUUCACAUUCACCAAAGGCCAAAUUCAGAAAAUAUAUAUACUUUCUGAUAUAUAUAUAUAUAUAUAUAUGAGAAAAAUGGGUAUGGUCUAAAAAUAAAUAAAUAAAUUUUGAGUUUGGGACAAUUGAUAGAUUUCAGUCCCUCAAAUCAAUAAACAGUAAAUCAAGAGAUAAUUAGGGUAAACAGAUUGUGAUGCAAACUGACUGAAAUUUAUACUUAAAUAAUUAUUAGUAGUUAUUAAUGACAAGGAAUGUGUUAGUUGAAUGUGAUGACUUGUACAAGUUUCAACUAGGAGAAAUCACGCGUAAAAUUGACUUGUGCCAAGUCCAAAGAAGAGUCCGUCGUUUUGUAAUCGAAAGUCAAAAAAAUAAAUUCAAUUAAUCUUUCGAAAAAAAAUGAAUUACUUCUUCUCCAUUUUAUUUAUUUAUUUUGGAUUGAAUCACUCAAAUUUAUACGAUGCCAAUUGCAACAAUGCGAAUAUUUUGGAUCUCGAGUCUGCGAUGUCAUGUCUCGAGAUAUCGAUUUUAGAAAGGAACAUCGACGAUAAGAUUGGGUUGGUGACGUUCAGAAUUUGUUACUUAUCGUGUGAAUCUCGCAAAACUUGUCUGUAUCUUUCCGAUUUCAUUCGAGUAUCAAGGUUAGACAACUUCUUACUCAGCUGUCAAAAAGAUUCCGCGUUCUUUUUUUCUUCAAACAUAUAUCUUUUAUCCACGCACAUAUACGUAAUGCUUAUCAUUUACUUAAUUAAUUAAUCCCAUCUUGAUUAAAAAAAUAUUUUUACUUUUUAUCAUGAUAUAAAAAGACUUACUUAACUAAUAACGGUCUACAUAAUCGUACUAUUGUAUUUACGAUAUUUACGAGUCAUGAUAGUUAUCUUGAUUCUCGAUUUUUACACUUACAAGUCGUCGUAAUCAUUUUUACGAGUACUUGUACCUGACAAAAGAAAUGUUGUUGCAGUCCACAAUACUAAAGGCAACGUACGUCAAGAUAUUCUAACAGACUGUCUUGCGAUUUAGUAAAAAUAAAUAAAUAAAUAACUACUCUUUUUAGCAGAGAAUAUUCGUCACCGUAAUUAGAUUUACCUUUUGAAAAUUUUCUUUGACAAGAAUAGCAAGAGAAAAAUUAUUGAAGAAAGAAGAGUGGGGGAUUCGAAGUUGCCAAGUCAAACGCAAGAGCCCUUUGUUUAGGAUUAAGAAAAAGGGAAGAAUAUUGGAGUGCACAUAAAAAGCAAAAAAGACCAUUACCCUGUUUUCAUGUUGUUAUAAAAUCGGAUUUGAUUGAUUGACCUAUCGAGGAAAAUGGAGAGCAUGGAUAAGCCCAAGCUCCUUUUCUUGAGAAUCAGUCAGCACGGAAAUCAUUUGCUGAUUAUCAACAUGAAAGAAAAAGCAAAACCAAGAAGAAAACAGAGGAAAGACUAAAAGGAAAAGUAAAAACAGAGACAAAGGUAUACAAUCACCUGCAUCUUCUUUUUUCUUUUUUGAAGAAUAGUUACAAUUUUUUUUUUUUUUUGUACAAUAGAAAGGCUAAAUUCACAUCUUAAGGCUAAAAACAUACAGGGUCUGCACUAGAAAUAGCCCUAAGCAAAGAAAAAGGAGAAAAGAAAAAAACAAAAUAAAAUAAUGACUAUAAUGGCCAGGCUUUGAACAAAUCAGACCCUAUACAGAAAAUCAUAGAGAAAAAAACUCAACCCAAUGAGUCGAGUGAUCCAUCUGAGUUGUAAUCAUUGGGGGUUGCAUGUCCCGGGGUUGUUGAGCUUGAGCUAAGUCCACCUCCUCUUUCCCUCCUCGCCCUCCUUCUCCCAGAACCCGUCGACAGAAAAUUUGCAGCUGAUUUCCAGAGGCCCUUGAUUAUCCUGAUUGUAAUCCGGCCUCUCUUGGGUGGGAGUGGGAAGGUCUGUUGAGGCAUCUUGGUAAGUUUUUAGAAGUUUUUUUGAGGUAACAACAGAAGAAGUUAUGUGAAGAAACAGAGGAAUCCAGGCAGAGGAAACAGGGGAAAGGGGUUAUGGAGCUAAACUUCUCUUAUAUUCCUUGCAAAAGAAAAGGAUAGUAGUUUCCUUUGCUUUAGUUUGGAGAGUUUUGAAACAAAAAGACUGAAAAUAGUUAAAGAAACAAAGAAGUGGAAGAGGGAUUUUUCAAGAGAAAACAGAGUAUGAAUUUUUAAGAGAGGGGAAUGCAAAAUGGAGAGUGGGAGAGAAAUUUGUUGAGUUUGA